CUGCUUUACUCUGUUUUAUAUUCCUUAUGGCUGCAGUAUCUAUGUUAUGUCAUCUGCUUCUGUGCUGUACUAUGUGUUUGUUUGAUAUCUCGUAACUUGAGCCGGGGGUCUUUCGGAAACAGCCUUUCUACUUCAUCAGAGGUAGAGGUAUGGACUGCGUACAUCUUACCCCCCCCAGACCCCACUAAGUGGGAAUACACUGGGUUUGUUGUUGUUGUUGUUGUUCUUAACACUCAACUUUUCCUUUUUUGGUAGACAUAGGAAAUUUAUAAUAUGAACAACACGUCUACAGGGAUAUAUGUGGUGGCAGCGUUACUCUACAAACACUAACAGCAACAGUAGUUGUCCUUCUGAAACUAUUAUUUAUAACGUGGUAAGUAGUAGCAUUAUUAUUAUACAAUAUCUCAGUGGUAGUAGGCAGUCUAGCUAUCCAACAUGAUGACUCUCCAUUUUUGUCGUCUCGCAAAAUGUUCAAAGUAGAGGACGGAGGCUCCCACAUCAACGUAGUACUAUUAGUAUUACAUAUAUUUAUUCUGGCGUAUGCCAUCUUACAUUGUUCCCUGUAAACGUAACUCAGCGGCGGAUCAUGCAGUCUAUGGUACAUAACAUUGACAGUGAGAAAAGCUCUAGUCAUACUGAUAUGCAAACAAGUGGCUAAGAUUUCAAGCUCAGCAAUUGGGAAGUCACUCAUCUCCUUGUUAGGAUGAAUGUUUAGUAGUUUGUUUUGUUUUUCUUUCUGUUUUCAGAAUUAUUUUAAGGUUAUAGUUCUGAAUCUAUCUUGUUUUGUUUCUUUGUCGUCUUUGUUUAAACCCUUGUAUGUUUUCUUUCAAUGAAAUGUGUUGUACCUUGUUGUUUUGUCUUAUUUUAAGUUUGUUUGUUUGUCUUUUUUUUCAUGCAAUUCAUUUUAUGUUGAUUCUAGUGCUAUGACAUACCAACGAAAUUUUCAGCCAAAUCUUAAAAUCUAGUUUAAUCAUGAAACAUUGAAUUAGAGGGCUAAGGUUAGAAGAAAAAGACAUAUGAGAAACAGGUAGAAUGUUAAGACAUUUGGUGACUAUGUUGAAGUCUUCUUUGAAAAUUAAGGCAAUUAUUUUGAGAAUCACAAGAAUAACUUGGUCAUCAAUUAAAAGACAUGUCUCAAUUAGGUCAAAUAAUGAAUGCGAGAUCCCUAUUCAAGAGAAACAGAAAGAUAAUCAGCUCCACGAAAACAUGAGUCAUUCAAUAUGAGGAUGUACAACAAAGGUGGAGUUGUAGAUUUGAGAAGUGUAAAAUAAGAAGUGGAACACAUGCUCAGUUAAAGUUAGUGUUGUUAAAGUGUCACACAUGAUCUUCAUCUCCCACUUUCAUAUUGCAUGUUAUGUACUUGCAUUUUCAAGGAUUGAUAUGAUGAAGACAUUUUAUUCUCUUAUCCAAACAUUGUGUCAUCCUUUGUUUACCUCAUUUGAGCUUUAGUCUUAUUUUCUUUCAUACCCCUCUUUUGAAAUCAAGAUAGAGUCAGCAAAACUCGAAAGAAAAGUGUCGAGCAAAAGACUAGAGUCAGAAAAGUUUCAAAAAAAAAAGUAAAGAAAAAUAUGGCAAAAAGAAAGAAAAGAGAAAAAGAGUCAAUAACAACUGGAAAAAAAAUCAGAAUCAAGAAAAAGAACAAGUUAUCGAAACUACGUGUGACCUGAUUCUCUCCUCUCGAGGGUGAGAAAUACAGGCUGCCCUACUCUGGGCUCGGUCCAACCAAAUAAACAAUUUAGAAUUACUCAGUUAAAGAAACUGGGGCAUGGGUUAAUUUUCAUUGUUUGAGUCUAUUUCGAAAGUUGUAAGUUCCACCCCAUUUCAUCUGUCGUUUGAGCCUCAUGCCAUCCUUUCUUUCUAACCUUAUCCAAAAGUCAAGUUACAAUCAAAGGAAGACCUUCAGAUCAAUUUUUAAGAAUGUUAAGGCUACGCAUGCAAUGCAUAUGAUGACGUAUUUUGGGAACCACUUGUCUUUCUCGGCAUAAGGAGUUAGGAGAGAAAUAAAAAUGAGAGAGUCUUAUUGGUUAAAAUCCUCACGGGCAUCAUAAGACGAUGGUGAGUUGAGAGAAAUAAAAUGAGAGAGUCUUAUUGGUGAAAACCUUCACGGGCACCGUAAGACGAUUGUGAGUUUAAAAAAUGAGAAUAAGAGAGUCUCAUCGGUGAAAAUUCUCACAAACACCAUAAGGCAAUGGCGAGCUGAGAGAAAAAAAAUGAGAAAGGCUUAUUGGCGAAAACCUUCAAGAUGUCACUAGCUGAAUGGGAUCUAUAAGUGCAAUUGACCUAAGGAACAACUCAGUUUCAGGGCCAUUAACUCAACAAUAAUUGGUGAAAAGUUUGGAUGAAAAGAUCAGGUAGCUUAAUCCACAAAAUACACGGUAUAAUCAUUAGAGUUGACUGUCAUUUUUAGAUGAAUGUUCCGUUUCUUUGUUUCAAAUAGGGACAUUCAUUUUCCUUUUAUUUCUCCUAAGUAUCUUCGUUUUCUUGAGUCAAUUAUUUCAAAAAAUCAUCAUUGUCAUUUUUCUCGUGUUUUUGAGUCGAGUCUGUGUCAUAACAAGUGAGAAAAAUUUUUAAAACUGGCUACCAGUUUCUUCAAUUGCACAAAGCAAGACAAAAAGCCAACACAUGAAAGAAACAUGAUUGUGAAUCGAAAUAAGGCAUGCAGAAAGUUUUGUCAACAGACGAGUCUGGGAACUCAUGGAAAUAUCAAGGUUCAAAGAGUUUAUUUGAGGAGCAUGGCAAAGUAGAGAUACUGUGUUUGUUUCAGAGUCACUUUUAAUAAUCUGAGUUUGGGUCAAUGAUGCAGCAAGUCAGUAACAGAUGCUAAUGGUUGGAAGCAAAUUUAAAUGUGACGAGGGCAAGAGUGAUUGCCAAGGAAGCUAAAGUCACAAACCUGUCACCAAAUUUUUGAACUCACAAGUUUUCUUUGAUGAAACAGGAAACAUGUUACCUUUAAAUCAAGGAAUUCAGAGCAUAAAUAUCAAGGGUUGCAAUGCCUCAUUUCCACAAAUGCAGAAAGCAAUGUUGCUACACACCUUUGAUAAUCAAAUUAUGGUAAAAAUUUAUCAUCCUAUAUCCUUAGAAGGCAUACUUCUUUGUCCAGGUAUUUAAGUUUUCAAUUGCUAAGUGAUAUACUUCUUAAAUUGAACCUUGAUUCCUAGAAAAUGUACCUUUAUUUGAGUCAUUCCUCUUGAUUCCUAUACGACGUACCCUUUAGUUGAGUCAUUCCCCUUAAUUCCUAUAUGACGUACCUUUUAGUCAAGUCGUUCCCCUUGACUCCGAUAAAGUGUACCUUUUAGUCGAGUCAUUCCCCUUGACUCCUAUAAGACAUACCUUUUAGUCUAGUUAUUCCCCUUGAUUCCUAUAAGACGUACCUUUUAGUCGAGUUAUUCCCCUUGAUUCCUAUAAGACGUACCUUUUAGGCGAGUCAUUAACCUUUUAGUCGAGUUAUUCCCCUUGAUUCCUAUAAGACGUACCUUUUAGGCGAGUCAUUAACCUUUUAGUCGAGUUAUUCCCCUUGAUUCCUAUAAGACGUACCUUUUAGGCGAGUCAUUAACCUUUUAGUCGAGUUAUUCCCCUUGAUUCCUAUAAGACGUACCUUUUAGGCGAGUCAUUAACCUUUUAGUCGAGUUAUUCCCCUUAAUUCCUAUAAGAUGUACCUUUUAGACGAGUCAUUCCCCUUGAUUCAUAUAAGACGUACCUUUUAGUCGAGUCAUUAACCUUUUAGUCGAGUUAUUCCCCUUAAUUCCUAUAAGAUGUACCUUUUAGACGAGUCAUUCCCCUUGAUUCCUAUAAGACGUACCUUUUAGUCGAGUCAUUCCCCUUGAUUCCUAUGAGAUGUACCUUUUAGUCGAGUUAUUCUCCUUGAUUCCUAUAAGACGUACCUUUUAGUCGAGUCAUUUCCCUUUAUUUGUAGAAGAUGUAGAUGUACUUUCUAGUUGAGUCAUUUCAUUUAAUCCCUAGAAGACGCACUUCCUUGUCUGGGUAAUUUGAGUUUCACAUGUUAGGAGACGCACUUCCUAAUUUUAGUUAUUAGUUUUACUCUGAAGAGACGCAUUUCUUUAACAGGGCUUUGAUUUACACUCUUUACUGUAGUUUUCAAAAGUUGUGAUCUGAUUACACUCACAAAAUUUUCUAGUGCAAACUGCGGCAAAAAAAUUUGUUCGUGUUUAUCGAAAAUUAUUUUAUGCUCAGGACUCUUCUGAAGAAUGAGAAUUUAUUUACGCUCUGGACCCUCUUGAAGAAUAAGAAUUUAUUUUACGUUCAGGACCCUUCUGAAGAAUGAGAAUUUAUUUACGCUCAGGACCCUCUUGAAGAAUGAGAAUUUAUUUUAUGCUCAGGACCCUCCUGAAGAAUGAGAAUUUAUUUAUGCUCAGAAUCCUCCUGAAUAAUGACACUUUUCUUUUCUAGUUCUUCUUUUAUUUUGAGUUCAAGAGCCCGUCUGAGGAAUAGGGUGAAGAAAUAACAAGCCAAGAGUCCGCCUGAAGAACAGGGUGAAAAAGUAACAAGUCAAGAGCCCGCCUGAAGAACAGGGUGAAGAAGUAAUAAUAAGUUAGGAGCCCGCAUGAAGAACAGAGUGAAGAUUGUCAAGUUCAAGUCGGAGGAAAGUUUGAAGAAUAAAUCAAUUGUCAAGUUCCUCUCCAAUGCCAAAAGCCAACGAGAAGGAACAUUUUGUGUUUCAAGUUCAGCUCAGAAUAACGACUAUCUCACCAUUUGAGAGGUCAUGAAGAUUCAAAUCAAGAUUCCAGAAAAGUAGCAUAGAUAGAAUCUUUCACUUGUAUCUUCAUUUUAUUUUUUGUUAUUCAUUUCAAUGUAAAAGCAGAAAGUUGGAAAUCGAAAACUCGACGGAACCUCACACAACCUUUAACUCAUUCCCUCACCAUUUUACCUUUGAACUAUACGUGAUCUAACCUGGGAUAUGUAGGCGGUCCAAAACUAGGACUCGAUCACAUCUUUUAUUUUAUUUUCUUUGAUCCUUACCUUAAAAAUAAUCGGAGGUCAAAAAUACAAUAAAAGUUUAUAAAUAACCAAAAAUAAAUAUAAUUAAGGUAGAAUUAAAACUAUUGACUUAUUUCUUGAAAUAAAGGAAAGAUAUAUUUUUGAAUUUUUGUAUUGUUUUAUAGAACAAAAAUAAAAAUAAAAAUAAAAAAUUCCAAAAUUUAACUUUAUUUAUUUAUUUAUUUAUUUAUUUAUUUUUGUCUCGAUUAAGAAUGCGGCGUAUACAUCAUUUUUGAGAUGGUUAAAAAAUAAUUUAAGGAUGCAAUAAUGCUCUUUGACAAAUAUUUUCUGAAAUUAAUUUUUCAUUGAUUUAAUACAAGAGUUUUAAAUAGUUUUUAUAUAUUAAAAAUGAGUGAAUAUUAGGUCUUCACAUGAUUUAUUCAAAAAUAGUUUAAGUCAAGAUAAGUCAAUAAAAGCGACCGUGCUAAGAACUACGGGAUUCGAGGUGUCUCACACCUUCUCCUCAGUCAACAGAAUUCCUUACUCGAUUAUUUGUUCUCGCAGACUUAAAAAAGAGUUAUUUCUUUUUUAUUAGAGAUUUAAAAAGGUGAUUUGGAACAUCAUGACUUAAUUCCAAGUGGCGACUCUAUAAAUGAUAAAAAUAAUGCCUACUCAAUAUCGUCACUUUAAUCAAAAAAUUUCUUCAACCCUCGGGCGAAAAAGAGAUGUGACAGUAAAAUAGUCAUAUUAAUUAUUUUUUCUUAAUGUCAAAAGUAAACAAAUAAAAGUAAACGAAGUUAAUCUCAUAUUAAUUGUUCACAUUAUUUAUCCUUUCUAAGAUCGAUUUUUGUAUAUUAAUGUUGAUGGAUUUAUUCGCAAUUUACAUAGUCAAAAAAAUAAUAUUAAAAUGAUCAACGAGUCAAUAAUAAAUUUAGAUUAUAUAGAAAAAAACACUUAUAAACAACAUACUAUUAAAACGAUUCAAAGAGUGUUAAAAAUAGUUGAAACGUUAAAUUAAAAUAACACAAAGUGAAUAUCCUGGUAGUUGAUAAAUAAAAAAAUCGAAUCAGAUAGAUAUAUUUAGGAGAAUGAAAAAGAAUGGUUAUUCGGUGGAAACUAUUCCCAACCGAAUAGCCAAGAACUUUGAUAUGCCAUUUUUUUAGCCAUUUAUUCCUUCAAUGUUUCAAUUGCAGUUUACUCUUCUUGUUUUUUUAUUUUGUUUUGCUUUCUUAAAAUGAGUUUUAUUGCAAUUUUUUUUUUUUUUUUUUUAAAGUCACUGCUCUUCCGCUUUUUCUUUUCAAUUCAUUUUUUCUGCACUCUUUUUGUUGCUCUUGUUUAUUUUUAAAAAUGGUGUAUUAUUAUUUGUGUGUUAAUAAAUAUAUAAUUAAUAUAUAGUUAAUGUAAAUCAUAUAUUCAUAUAUAUAUAUAUAUAUAUAGAUACACACACAUAUUUUAUGAUACACACAUGCUAAUUUGCAUAUUUUUUCACAAUUAAACAAGAAAAGAAUGUAUUUCUUUCAUACAAACAAAUACAAAUUAAUUAUUAUUUUUUAAUUAAUUAAAUAUUAAAAAAAUAUAAAUUUUUAUUGACUAUAUACAAUAACAUGUUUUAUACAACAACGAUUCAUAUACAUAUUUUAUACAACGAUGAUACAGUUUUUGUACAUGUCUUAUACUGAUCACAUCCUAUACAAUAAUGAGACAAUUUUUAUAUAUACAUCAUGUACAAAAUUUAUAUUUUUUUUGUUUCUCAUCCGGUAUUCGGUGUCCGUAUUGGAUCCCCGACUAAUCCGGAUCGCGUGUUGCAGGGCCCAUUAAGGUGGCAGCGCUCCCAACGGAGUUUUCUCUGUACCCAGGGUCGAACCCUCGACCUCUGGUUAAGGGUGGAGCAGCCUCAUCCACUGCACCACAACCCAUGUUGGUCAUAUUCUAUACAACAAUUAGACAGUUUUAAUCCUCAUUCUUUACAACAUCUAGCUCCAAUAAUUAUUUCAAUACAUAUUUUAUAAAAUAAUUAUACAAUUUUUAUACGUCUUAUCUUAUAUAACUUUUAUGAUCUCUCACUAGGGCUGUUAAUUGGGUCGGUCUGAGUCAACCCGGAACCAUCCCGUUAUGUUUAGUUUGUUUGUGGGUCGGGUCCGGUUUCGGGCCAGGUUAAAAAGGGUCCGGCCAUUUCUGCGCCCAACAGUAAAUUUUAUUAAAACAAUCCAGGACCGGUCAACUAAACCUAACCCCGUUCAACCCACCUAAAAUCGAUCAAAACCGGUCNNNNNNNNNNNNNNNNNNNNNNNNNNNNNNNNNNNNNNNNNNNNNNNNNNNNNACCCCCCCCCCCCCCCCCCGCCCCAAAAAAAAAAAUCUCCAAUAUACACUAUAUAUACUCACCUAUAUACAUUUUAAAUACGUUAAACAAUAUAUAUACACACUAUAUAUAUAGUAUAUACUACAUUAGAAUUUAAAAAAUAUAUACACAUAUGCACAAUUACACAUGUAAUCGUGUAUACGACUAUACGUUAGUUAAUUAUAUAUCUCUAAAUAAAACAUAUACUACAAUAUAUAUACUACAAUAUAAUGAUAUAUAUACUAAUUUAUAAAAUAUAUACACAUGUAUACAUUAAAUAUAUACUACUACUUUAGAGUCUAUAGAGAUAUAUAUACACAUAUAUACGUACCAUUCAAUAUAUAUGUACUACUAUAAAUAAAAUAUACUACAAUAUACACACACACUAUAUAUAUAGUUAUAUACUAAUUUAUAAAAUAUAUACACAUGCAGUGGCGGAGCCAGAAUAUUCACGAAGGGGAUUCAUAAAUGAACAUACGAACUAACCGAAGGGAGGUUCAACAUCUAAUAUUUAUACAUAAAAAAUAAUAUUAACCAUGCAUAUAUAGCAUAAUUUUUCGCCGAAGGGGGUUCGGAUGAACCCCCUCGGCAAAGGGUAGAUCCGCCACUGUACACAUGUAUACGUUAAAUAUAUACUACUUUAAGUCUAUAUUCUAUAUAAACACAUAUAUACGUACCAUUCAAUAUAUGUACUACUUUAAAAAAUAUGCUCCAAGAUAUAUACUACAAUAUAAUGAUAUACAUACUAAUUUAUAAAACAUAUAAAUAUGUAUACAUUAAAUAUAUAUUACUUUAAAGUCUAUAGAAGAUAUAUACACAUAUAUACAUACCAUUCAAUAUAUAUGUACUACUUUAAAUAAAAUAUACUACAAUAUAUAUACUACAAUAUAAUGAUAUAUAUACUAAUUUAUAAAACAUAUACACAUGUAUACGUUAAAUACACACUACUUUAGAGUCUAUAAAAGAUAUAUACACAUAUAUACGUGCCAUUCAAUAUAUAUGUACUACUUUAAAUAAAACAUAUACUACUUAAUAUAAUAAAUUAAUAAUACUUGAUAGUAUAUUUAUAAUAUGUUAAAACUAAGUAUUUAAUUUAAACUAGAAAUUCAAUUUAAAUCAUUAAAUGAAAAAAAUUACAAAUUAAGGACUAAGGAGUGAAUGAAUUUUGAAUUUUAUUGAUUGCAAAAUGACCCAAAAUUUAUAAUUUACAUGAAUAAAAAAUCUACAAAUUUUGCAUCAUUUUUUCCAACGGAUUCAUGUUAAUAUUAAUGGCAACUUGCAUAGGAUAGUCAAAGUCAAUGGGGUCAAAAUCAUGCAUUGGACUUGAUUCUGUUGAGUUCUCCCUUGAAGUCAUAAUUUCUUCAAGUUUUUGUUCAUCUUUCGGCUCCUCCUCCAUUCCUUGAUUUCUUCGUUCCGCUCUAAUCCAAUCUUUAAGGCAAACUAGAACAUUCAUAGCAUUGUUUCCCAAUGAGUGUCGGUUGUCUCCAAGUUAUUGUCGUCCCUGACUAAAAGCGCUCUCCAAUGCAACGAUUGAAUUGGAACAUUCAAUAUAUCUCUAGCUAAUCUUGAAAACACAGGAUAUUGUGUUUCAUUAUUCCUCGACCAAUCUAACGCGUUGAUCCGUCGUCUACGAUCCUCUAUCAGUUUUUUAAGAUAAUACUUAAGCUCUUCCCAAUAAGUUGUUGUGUAAGCUCUCACCACAACACUGUUUCAACAAUUUAAAUCAUAAAAGUAAUCAGGAAAAUCACUAUGUGCCAGUCUUUUAGAAGAUAAUGACUCCUCGGGAGGAUGAGGAGCGACAGUUGGAGUGAUAUUUGUUGGUACAGCUAAAUCAAGUAAAUCAGCAUAAUGAUUAUAUAAUUUAUCUAUGUAAGCGUUCGCAUCAGCCAUAGACGUCCACAAAUCUGGUUGUUCUUGCUCUUCAUCAUCAGAAUCAUUGUUAGUAGUUAUCUCUAAGUUAGAAUAAAUAAGAGUACUAAAGUGACACAUAGUAGUAUAUUUCAUAUACGAAUUUAGCACAACACCAACCAAGUAAAUAGGGGAAAUCAGAAAAAAAAUAUUUUUUAGAUUUAGCAAACAUAGCACCAAUAGUUUUUUUGUAACCUUUUUUAUUUGUAUAAUCUUUGAGCAAAUUAGAAAUAUCGGCUAUAUAUGUAAAAAUAUUACAAAUAGUAAGAUAAUAAGCACCGAAAAAUUCAAUCGUAGCUAUAUAAAUUUUUUUUCAAAAACUUAACAAGAUCAUCAAUUACAUUCCAAUCAGAAUCAUGUAGCAUAAAUUCAGUAGAAUCAACAAAUGAACCACAAUGUUGGUUAAAUAUAUGUAAUAGGAACUCUAUAUUUAUGACAAGUUUUUAAAAAAUCAUACGUAGCAUUCCAUCUAGUAUCACAUUCUUCAGGCAUCAAUAUCGGUGUAAGUCCAUUUUGUUCACAUUUAACUUUAAAUUCUUUAAUUCUUUUUCUUCUAUUAUUUCCUUGAAUAAAAUCAACAGCAAGCCGGAAUUUUUCAAUAUAAAGCUCAAAAAACUCAAGACCAUCUCUUAUAAUUAAAUUAUAUAUAUGACAAGCACACUUAACAUGAAAUAUUUCAGGUAACGGCGGAGAUAACUUAGAUUUUAACUUUGUAAUAACAGUCUUAUUGUUAGAAGCAUUAUCAGAAGCAACACAUAAGAUUUUGUUUUCAAUACCAUAAAAUUCUGCAACUUUAACAAUCGAAUCAGUAAUAAAAUCUCCAAUAAGUUUACGAUCUUCAUUAUACAAAAAAGAUAGAAUACGUUUUUGCAUAACAAAAUUACUAUCUAUCCAGUGACAAGUAAUGGUUAAAUAAUCAUUUUUAUUAGCAGCACGACCAAGAUCAACAGUUAGAGUCAUUCUACAUUGAAUAUUUUUUAACAAUGUAGAUAAAUAAAAAUAAUAUUAUGAAUGAAGUCUAAAAAUAUCAGUCCGACAAGUACUUCUAGGAAUACAAUUAAACAUAGGAUUAUAAAUUGCUUGAAUAUAAUGAAUAAAAGCAUCAGAAGAAGGAAAACUGAAAGGUAAACAACCCACAGCUACCAUUUUUGCUAUUUCUUCCCGAUUCCUCAAUUUAUUAUACUUCUUAAUUACCUGACUGGUUCCUAGGUCCAUUCUAGUUUGUGUUGGCCCACCAACAUCCUGACCACCUUUUGCAAUAAGUGAUUAUCACUUAUAUGUUUCAUUAACGUACUCGUACCACCUUACUUGUUCCUCUUUUAUGCUUAUAUAUUUGUUGAUAAAUAUUACAUUGCACCUCAGUAUCUGAUAUACGUAUAAAAAAUUGUCACUCAAUACUAGUUAUUUUAUGAUCUCUUGGGGGACGGGGAGGACGGUGGGGGCGAUUAAUCGAUUCAGAUCUAAUAUGAGCAUUUCCUACUGCGGGUGUCUCACCAAUAUUUUCAUCAUCUUCAUCUAAAUCAACCGCAUCUACUUCAUUUUCUUCUUCUAUACUGCAAUUUUUCUGAGCUUCUACAUAAUCCAUAUCGUGAGCACCUACACCUACUUCUUCCUCAAAAGGUUGACUAAACGGUAUCGAAGGCAGAGGCACACGGGUAUAUCUACUACUUGAAGUACCUCUACCGCUAGUAAUUCAAUUUUUACUACCACCACCACUUCCGGAAUAAAUUUCUUCUUCACUUUUAGUGGCGAGGUUUCUUAAUUUAUCCAUAAUAUAAAUUAAACUAAAAAAAUUCAAAAUACACAAAUAUAAUAAAAUUAAAUAUUCAACAAUUAACGCACUAAUUAAAAAUUAAAAGUAAGAGAUGAAGCGACAAUAUGAAAUUUUGAAAGUAUCCGAAGGUUGCGACUGUAGAAACUUUCACUCGUAUUUUGUAAUCGCAAAAUUUAAAAAUUAAAUUGAGCACUUUAGGAAAUAUAUAGAAUAUUUGAAUUUUGAGAAUUGAGAUUUGAGAGAAUGAAAAUUGUGUGGAAAAUGAUUUAAAAGUGUAGGGUAUUUAUAGAAUUUUUUUUGAGUUUAAAAAAGUAUUUAAUUAUUUUUUUUUAAUUUAAGAUGACCAAUUAGCCGUUUUUGGGGCCCAAACGGUAAUAUAACCAUUGGGCCCAAUGGUCAAAUGGCCCAAACGGUCAAAAACGAUUUUUUCUUUUUAAAAUAAAAUAAAAAUAAAUGGGUCGAUUAAACGACGGGCCUGGACCGAAUUUGGUUCGGAUCGGAUUAAUCAGGCCCCAAAAAACCCAGUCCACGACCUGAAACCCUACAGCCCUUGGGUUGAUCGGGCAGGGUCAUACCAGGCCGAGGCGCUCCAACCCAUUUGACAGGUUUAUCUCUCUCACACACAUAUAAGCGUUUAAAGUGUCCAAAAUAUUACACGAUGAAAUGAAUAACAUCAAUGAAAGGCCAAGGGUGUAGUGAGGAGACAAGGAAAGGUUGCCCAAAUAGAUAUAAAUUGAAAAUAAAUAUGGCGAGUGGCCAUUUAUUAUCCAAUAUGCAAACUUUGGCUAUUUAUUUAGCAAUUGGGUAAACAGUGUCAACUCCCUAUUAGACAUCAUCCCCAAGAUAAUGGAGGAACAUAAUCCACCCUACAUGGCCCAUGAUCUAAAGCCCACGAUCCGUCGUUAGGUUACCUUUUCUUCUUUGCCAUUUGUCCAAAUAAUGACUCUCUACUUUCUUAAAUUUCGUUUAAAUAUUCUUUUAAUCUGUAUUAUAGACGCGGUAAUGACUUGAUUCUAGGCGUGUUAAAUUCAGCUAAGUCCUCGUCAUGAAAUGAGAUUUGAGAAGCUACUGCGAUAACCAUUUGAAUAAUGCUAUCUUUCUAUAAACUUUUUUUAUAUAUAUAGAUUGUAUAUUGUGUAUAUAUAUAUAUAUAAAUAUUAUAUAUAUAUAUAUAUAUAUAUAUAUAUGUGUGUGUGUGUGUGUCUCGAUUAUUUUUAAUUUAAAUAAUUGAAUGGGCUACUAUUUAUAUUAAUUCCUUUUUAAAAAAUUAACUACAUGCAUUUUCAGGCAGGUUAUAUAAUACUAAUAAUAUAAUUUUCUUUAAUGUUUAAAUAACCAUAAUAAAUAAUUAGAGAUAAUAUAGUAAAAUCACGAUUGGAGCCGCGAAGCUAACAUGUAUUAAAAGUGAUAUAGCAUAAUAACUAUAAAAAAAAUACUUGUGAAAAUAAUCUAAGUGAGCCUCAUAUAAGACAUCAAACUAGUUUAAAGUAUCAAGAGUUAAUUUAUUAUUUUAUGUCUAUUUCAUCUUUUUUUAUUAUAUAUUAUUAAUUUUUUAAUACUUAGAUGACUUAUAAUAAUUAAUUAGGGGUGAUAUGGUAAAAUUACGGUUGGAGCAAUUGAAGCAGACAUGUCAAAAAUAUUUAUUUUACUUAUUUGUAUUAAAUAUUAUUAAUUUUCUAAUACGUAAAUAACUUAUAAUAAUUAAUUAAGGGUUAUAAAGUAAAAACACGGUUGUAGCUGCUGAAGCAGGCAACUGAAGCAGGCAUGCCGACCAGCUGCCUGCUUAAGCAUAAAACUUCCUCGCAUGCCGACCUGCUGCCUGCUUAAGCAUAAAACUUUCUCUUAUAUAUAAAUAUUCAAUUUAAGUGGUAUAAUACUUAAUAAUUAAUAAGGGGUGAUAUAAUAAAAUUGUGAUUGAAGCAAUGAAGUAGACAUGUAUUGAAUGAAUUAUAAUAACUAAUUAGAAGUGAUAUAACAAAAUUAAUAUAAGAAAAUACUUUUGAAAAAAUUAAGUGGAUCUCAUAUAAGACAUCAAAUUAAUUUAAUAUUAAAUAUUAUUAAUUUUUUAAAACUUAGAUGACUUUAUAAUAAUUUUUUAAUAUUAAUUUUUAAUAUUUAGAUGACUCAUAAUAAUUAAUUAGGGGUGAUAUAGUAAAAUUAUGUCGAAUCAACAAUAUUAUUAAUUUUUAAUACGUAAAUGACUUAUAAUAAUUAAUUAGAGGUGAUACAUUAAAAUUACGAUUGAAACAGCUUAUUUUUUUUUUCCGAAUAAUAAUAAGUGAAACUUUGAGGAAGUUAGUAGUCAUUUUGAAAACUACCAUUUUAUUAAUAUUAUAAUACUUAAAUGAAAUAAUUUAUAAUAAUUAAUUAGGGUUGAUAUAGUAAAAUUAAGUUUGAAGCAGCUGAAGCAGGUAGGAAGACCCCAAGCUGCUCAACAUUGCCGCUUACCAAAGCAGACACAUGUCAAAAAUGUUUUGUCUUUUUUUUAUUAAAUAUUAUUAAUUUUUAAUACGUAAAUGACUUAUAAUAAUUAAUUAGAGGUGAUACAUUAAAAUUACGAUUGAAGCCGCUAAUUUUUUUUUCCGAAUAAUAAUAAGUGAAACUUUAAGGAACUUAGUAGUCAUUUUGAAAACCAUCCUUUUUUUAAAUAUUAUUAAUAUUAUAAUAUUUAAAUAAAAUAAUUUAUAAUAAUUAAUUAGGGGUAAUAUAGUAAAAUUACGUUUGAAGCGGCUGAAGCAACUAGAUCGAUCCCAAGCUGCUCAACAUUGCCGCUUCUAUUAGAGAGUAAUAAUAUUACAUCUUUAGCCAAGCGAAAUUAUAUAAACAGUUAUUAAUCAUCUUGAGGAAUGAUGAUGAUGAUGAUGAUAGGGAAUUUAGUCUAUAUACCUUUGAUGAUUAAUACUAUUAAUUAAACAAUUUCUUUAAUUAAUGAUUGUAGCAAAAACUUAAACAGCAUUUGAAAAUGUGAUAUAUAAAAAACAAUAUCUUAUAAAAAAAAAAGUUGCUAAAACGGGGAAGAAACUAAUUAACUGAAUAAGGAAAAAUAUCUUAACACACUCAACUAACUUGGUCUUUUUUCUUUAAAAUUUUUUUUGUCAAUAUUCAACUGAUCUAGACCGCUAUCACUAUUUUAUGUAUUAUGGAAAAACUUAUGUAAGUGAUUUUCUUCUUAGAGAACGUAUCACUACUAAACUUUGAACAAUUAAAGAUAUGGCUAACUUGAUUUCCUUCCUUACUUCUUUGCUAAUUAUCCUUGCAAUAUUGACCCUAAAGAUCCAUGCAGUCAAUUACACCGUCACCAACAGGGCCGCAAACACCCCUGGUGGUGUCCGUUCCAAUAUAGCAAGCAAACAAUGGAAGCUGCCACUUCCGCAGGACUUUCCAGCUGUACGUAAAAACGUGCAAAAAGUUAGCAUGUUCGUCGAUGACAUGGAUGGAAUAGCUUGUUCUAGCAACAAUGAGAUUCAUGUUUUAGUGCCAGGUGCGUAUAGAUUGAUUCAAUAAAUAAGUAGUGAAUGCAUAUCGCGAUAUUAAAUAUAUAUAUAUAUAUUAUGCCACUUAUAUACUAAGUAUUUGAUUUAUAUUAAAUUCGUGUUUUGCAGGUACAUUCAAAGUUUCUCUGGUAAUGUCAAGAGAUUUAUCACUGGAGUACUGUACCACGAGAGCACCCAUAUUUGGCAAUGGAACGGGAAUAUAAUGAACGAGCUCCCGGGGGAUUGAUAGAAGGUAUUGCUGAUUAUGUGAGGCUCAAAGCUGGCUAUGCACCUAGCAAUUGGGUGAAACUAGGACAGGGUGACCGAUGGGACCAGGGCUACGAUGUAAUUGCUCGAUUUCUUGACUAUUGUAACAGCUUGAAAAGGAGAGUUGUGGCCCAACUUAACAAGAAAAUGAGAACUGGUUAUAGUGAUCAGUUCUUUGUCGACUUGCUUGAAAAGACUAUUGAUCAACUUUGGAGGGAUUACAAAGCCAAAUUUCGUGCCUAAAUAAAAAAUAUUACUCCAUUUAAUGCCUUUGUACAAAUUCAAGGCUAUAUAUAUCAUGGUCUUGUUGAAUAAUAAUAAGAAAAUAGGAGUAUAUAAUAAGAAUAAGUACAAGGGAUUGACAAGAAGCUAUCUCGCUCAAGUGGCUUUUUCUUUUUGCCUUAGCUAUUUAAUCUUCAAAAUUCACUAACCACACUAAUUUAGAUUCGCAUCAUAUAUAAUUUAUAAAUUAAAGAAAAAAUGCUCCUUUGUAAAAGUUUCUUUGUUUUUAAGUUCGAACUCAAAAAUAUUUGGUAUUUCUAUUUUAAGUAGUACUUACCAUAUUACCAAACGAAAAAUUAUUAAUUAUUAUGAAAGAAUAUUAUAACAUAACAACUAUGUAAGACGUAGAUGAGUCAUUUUUUUUAAAAGUGAUUCCUUAAGGGUCUGUUUAAAAAAUCAACUGCAAAUUAGAUUUGUGUAAUUUGGUGGUGUUAUACAAUUUAACAUGUCUGGGUGGCCAAAUAAUUACUUAGUUAAUAGAUAAUUGGGGGUAAUUGGCAGAAGGUAAUUACACUUUUCAAUUCUCACGAGUGCUGUGAAUUAAUGUUAAUACAUGAUGUAUUACAAGAUUACUUUUUAUUUUCUCCUUUUAUUUUUAUCAAAAGAAAAAUAUAAUUUUUUUCAUGUUUUAUCCUUAACAUUAGCUGCUUAAUUAUUCUUCAAAUAUAUAUAUUUUUAAAAAAUUUUAAAAUUAUUUUUAAAUUUUAAUUUUUUUUAUUUUUUUUUAAUUAUCUUAAUGUAAAAUUGGCCAAAAAUUAACCCUCACUCGCACCCCAGGCGAGUGGCUACACUCUCUUUGUCCUAGUCACAAUUUCAAUGCCACAUAGGCAAGGUCAACGGUCAAAGGAUGCAAAAUGUUGCUUUUUAAUUGGUUCAAGGGUCCAAGUAACAAAUAUCUAAGUAGAAGUGUCCAACUUAUAAAACCAACAUAAUACAAAGGUCCAGAGGGUCAUUUUGCCUUAUUUUUAUUGGUACAUAAUUUAUAGUGCAUCACAUGAGCUAGUUAAUCACAAAUCAUUAUAACAUAACUUUAUUCAUAACAUAGUAGAACAAAAUGCAGAAGACAACACUUGGAUCAUUACACACAUACUUUAUUGUAGUUACUGAAAAACAAACCAUUAAAUCUUGUCAUAUAUAGCUGAGAUAGGUAGGAUAGGAAUAUAUAUAUAGCUGGAACUAUAUAUUCUUGUUCUUAUAGUCUUCUUGAAUAAUAUAGCUGGCAGGCUUAGUCACAAGUGAACUUGAAGAGUGCAGGCAUGGUGCAUUGAUAACGAUCAUAAAAACGAUUCCAUUUAUUACAGCAGAGGCACAAAGUAAAGCCACGUUUACAGUCCAAGUGAGUGUUGCAUCAGUCAGUACAAGCAUUUGAGGGAAAUAGCUUCAUUUUCAGACAAGUUAUAGACCCAGCUGCCCCUAGUACUAAUUUAAUACUUAUAAUGCUAACUCAUUGAUUAAAUGCCAACGUGUUACCAUCAUUUAGGAAUUUAUUUUAUCAAAUUAGUUUAUUAAUCUGUGAAAAUAUAAAUGUGAGUAUACACACUUUAUGUAGCCAUUUAAUGAUAGAGAUAGUAUUAAAAAAAUAUAUAAAAUUUUUAAUUUAGUUGUCCCUUUUAUGAAAUUUAGAGGAUUUUAUUAUGUUAUUUCAAUUAUAUCAUUAUCUUUAAAUGACUAAAUAGAGUAUAUAUAGUCAAAUUUAUAUUUUCAAAAUAUAAUUAAUAAGGCUAAUGUGAUAAAGUAAACAACUAAUAAAUAUUUUUUAAGGGAAGUACCAAGUCAUUAAAGGUCAAUUAUUUUGAAAUAAAAAAAAUAUCUUCUAGUUAAUAUUUUUUUUAAACGGUGUGCAACUUAAAAAAUGAAAACUAAAUAACAGAGGGAGUACUAUUAUUUCAUAAAUUAUUACCGUUUUAUUUUUUUGUUAAAGAAAAAAUUCUUUUGGCCACAAUAAAUGAGUUGGCAUCUAGUUUUUAAUGAAUUCCAAUAAGUGCUGACAUAAAGUAGUACUGUUUGUUUAUUCGGAAGGGAUGUGUUAUCAAAGUGGUGUCAGUGUUCGAACUCCCAAAAAAUAAUUAAGCAACACUAAUGAGAGGUCGACAAAUUUUAACAACUAAUGAAAAGAAAGCCAUUUUGCACAUAUCAUACUCGCUCCGUCCCAAAUUACGCGUCCCAAACUUUUCAAUUUUAUUUUUUAUUUUAUUUAUCUUUUUUUAUUAAUUAAGAAGAGACAAAUUCUUUUUUUCAUGUUAUAUCCUUUGCAUUAAUUAUUUUUUCUUCAAAUUAAAAUAUAAACAUCAUUUAAUAGGUGCACUAUAGUAAACUAAUCAUGUUAUUAAUUAUUUUUCUUAAUUAAUGUAUCAUCUCAAUUUGAGAUAGGUAAUUUGAGACGAAGGGGGUAAUUAACAAAAGUACUUAACAAUUUCAGGACAAAUUAAAACUAGCCAACUAUGUCCUCUGUCAGAAUAACAAAAGUAUUAGGCUGAAAUAUAAAUAUAAGCAACUAAUAAAGCUGUAACAUGUGUCACUGCAUAGGGGUGGGCGUUCGGUCGGUUCGAUCUGAUUGUUUAAUAUUGGUUCGAUUUAUCGAUUUUCGGAUUGACAAAAACGACAUCCAUAACCAAACCGAAAUAAAUUCGGUUUGGUUUGGUUUUUACAAAUUCGGUUCGGUUAUUUCGGAUUUUUAUUUCGGUUUGAAAUAUUAAAGUAGUUGCCUCUCUUUUUCAUAACUGAGCAUUUAAAAUUGAUGAAUUUUUUUAAAAAAGUUAUUUUUUUCAAACUUAUUUUUCAUUCCCAAGUAUAAAUAAUUAUAAAUAACUCAACAUGGAUGAAACGAAUUGAAAUAAUCAUAAGCUUAACAUAAUGCAUAACGUCAUUAAUCAUUACAUAUAAUAUAACCUUGCAUAAAUAGUUUACAAAAUAACACAAAACACGUAAAAAUAGUCCAUAAAACAACAUACUUUCUACAUAAAUAGUCCAUAAAACAGUCCAAAGUUACCAAAAUAGUCCAUAAAAUAUUUGAAUCACUACAAACAAUCCAUAAACAGUCUGCGGCAUAUGCGAAUUUGCUGUUAAAUGUUAAUUGUGAAUGUGAAUUACUAAAUAUUAUAUAUAUAUUUCUUGUGACUUAAUAUGCUUCCCCUGUUCGAAUGGAGCUGAAUCUUGUUAUCCUUGAAAGAAUCCAAUCCCCUUAUAUGGUCAUUCAGUCACUCCAUCAUCAUCAACUAAAAUCAAGAAGUAAACUUUCUAACAUGGGUACAAGUGAGGGUACCCAAUCAAGGGUGCCUCAAGGGUAAGGCUAAUAAAGCGUUGGCUUUAGGCCCCAAAAUUUUGAAGCGUCAAAAAAAUUUAAUUGUAAAUUUCAUGAUUUCAGUUUCAUUUGAAAUAAUAAUGAAGAUUGUGAAAUACUUUAAAAAAAUUUUCCUAAAAAAAUACAAAAAGAAAGAAAUAUCUAAUUUUUACUAGAAAUAUUUUAGAACUUCGAAUUAAAUAACUUAAAUUUUAUAUUAAUAAUUAAUAUUUUAAUAAUAAUAUCUAAGUUAAUGUAUUGCAAACAAAUGACUAAUAUCUUAUUAACCAGAAUGAAUCUUUGUUUAAUUAAAAGUUAUAGUAUAUGUUAAGUUAAAGGUUAUGUGUAUAAAAUAUUACAUAAAAAAUAAUUAAUAUAUAACAACAAAAAAAUCACUCUGAAUUAUUAUAAUAUUAUUUUUGUAUGUAUAUUUAUAUAUAUUAGACCAUUUGUUUAAGUUUGAUUUUAGACCAUCAAUUUUAUUGAGACCGUCCUGACCUAAACAUUUAUCUUUUGAAUCAAAAAUUUCAAAUAGAUCAUUAAAUUUUGAAUAUAACUAAAACGAAUAAAUAGUUCAUGUAUUAAUCAUUUGCUCCAACUUUUAAUGAGUGGACCACUUUUUUAAGUAAAUAAUUUUUAAAUCGUUCAUAUUUGAAUGAUGUGAUUUUUCUUUCUCUUUUUCUUUUAACCAAACUUUUUUCCUAAAACGAGAUGUUAUCUCAGGGAUAUAAAAACAUGCUAUAAUAAUGCAGGUUUGAUUUUGUCUUUAACUUUAAUCUUGUAUCUUAAAUAUGUUAUGCAAAGAACAAAAAUUAAAGAGUUAUCAAAAAAUAAAAAUUAUAUUUAUUGAAAUCUGUUAAAAAGAUAGAUAAGACAAAGAAAUUUAAACGAAGGAAGUAUACGCUAAAAAAAAAUAUGCAUAACACACAUAGCAGAAACUAGUAGGGAAUAAUUUGGUGACGUGGCACAGUUUUCAAGAGUCAAAUAGUUUAACUUGAUAGUAAUUUUUGGCAUGCAAUAUUUAAUUUUUUAAAAAUAAAAUUGAUAUAUUUGAAAAUUAUAUAUAAAGUUCUAUAAUUCAAAAUGAUUGGACAACUUAAAAUGUUUAAAAAGUAUACGACAAACAUUAUGAUCAAUCAAAGAAAAAAUUGUUUGAAUCAUGAAAUCCAUGAAAUGUCACAUAAAUUGAACGGAAGGAAUUUAUAUUUAAAAAUUAUAAACCUAAUUAAAUUACUCAAAAUUUAAUCAACUUGAAUUAUGGGUGUCAAACGGGCUGGGUCGGGCUAACUCGGAACCGGCCCUUCCAUUUUAACCGAGUUGAGGGCCGGUUUUGGCUCUAGACGGGCAGAACCCAACAGUAAAAAAAAUUAAAAUCCACCCUAACCCGGUCCACUUAACUCAACCCGGUCAAACCCACCAAAACCCGAUCAAACCCGAUUAAAAAUCGGUCAAACCCGUUUAAAAAAAAAAAUCAAAUAUACACUAUAUACACUACAAUUAUAUACACUAUAUACACUCCAAUAUACACUAUAUACACUCCAAUAUACAAUAUAUAUUUUAAAAAAAAAAUAUAAACAAUUACACAUAUAUACGUACCAUUCAAUAUAUAAUUAUAUAUUACUAUACGUACUACUUUAAAUAAAACAUAUACUAUAAUAGUAUAUAUAUAUACACUACAACAUAUAUAUAUAUAUAUAUAUACAUAUAUAUAUAUUUAUAUAUUAAUUUAUAAAACAUAUACACACUUAUACGUGAAAUAUAUACCCAUAUAGAAGAUAUAUACACAUAUAUACGCACCAUUCAAUAUAUAUGUACUGAUUUAAAUAAAAUAUAUUCUACAAUAUACAGCUAUAUAUACAACAAUAUGUAUAUAUAUANNNNNNNNNNNNNNNNNNNNNNNNNNNNNNNNNNNNNNNNNNNNNNNNNNNNNNNNNNNNNNNNNNNNNNNNNNNNNNNNNNNNNNNNNNNNNNNNNNNNNNNNNNNNNNNNNNNNNNNNNNNNNNNNNNNNNNNNNNNNNNNNNNNNNNNNNNNNNNNNNNNNNNNNNNNNNNNNNNNNNNNNNNNNNNNNNNNNNNNNNNNNNNNNNNNNNNNNNNNNNNNNNNNNNNNNNNNNNNNNNNNNNNNNNNNNNNNNNNNNNNNNNNNNNNNNNNNNNNNNNNNNNNNNNNNNNNNNNNNNNNNNNNNNNNNNNNNNNNNNNNNNNNNNNNNNNNNNNNNNNNNNNNNNNNNNNNNNNNNNNNNNNNNNNNNNNNNNNNNNNNNNNNNNNNNNNNNNNNNNNNNNNNNNNNNNNNNNNNNNNNNNNNNNNNNNNNNNNNNNNNNNNNNNNNNNNNNNNNNNNNNNNNNNNNNNNNNNNNNNNNNNNNNNNNNNNNNNNNNNNNNNNNNNNNNNNNNNNNNNNNNNNNNNNNNNNNNNNNNNNNNNNNNNNNNNNNNNNNNNNNNNNNNNNNNNNNNNNNNNNNNNNNNNNNNNNNNNNNNNNNNNNNNNNNNNNNNNNNNNNNNNNNNNNNNNNNNNNNNNNNNNNNNNNNNNNNNNNNNNNNNNNNNNNNNNNNNNNNNNNNNNNNNNNNNNNNNNNNNNNNNNNNNNNNNNNNNNNNNNNNNNNNNNNNNNNNNNNNNNNNNNNNNNNNNNNNNNNNNNNNNNNNNNNNNNNNNNNNNNNNNNNNNNNNNNNNNNNNNNNNNNNNNNNNNNNNNNNNNNNNNNNNNNNNNNNNNNNNNNNNNNNNNNNNNNNNNNNNNNNNNNNNNNNNNNNNNNNNNNNNNNNNNNNNNNNNNNNNNNNNNNNNNNNNNNNNNNNNNNNNNNNNNNNNNNNNNNNNNNNNNNNNNNNNNNNNNNNNNNNNNNNNNNNNNNNNNNNNNNNNNNNNNNNNNNNNNNNNNNNNNNNNNNNNNNNNNNNNNNNNNNNNNNNNNNNNNNNNNNNNNNNNNNNNNNNNNNNNNNNNNNNNNNNNNNNNNNNNNNNNNNNNNNNNNNNNNNNNNNNNNNNNNNNNNNNNNNNNNNNNNNNNNNAUAUAUAGUUAUAUACUAAUUUAUAAAACAUAUACACUUGUAUACGUUAAAUAUAAACGUCUAUAAAAGAUAUAUACACAUAUAUACGCAUCAUUCAAUAUGUAUGUACUACUUUAAAUAAAAUAUAUACUACGAUAUACAUAUAUAUGUAUUACAAUGUAUAGAUGUUUAUACUAUACUAAUUUAUAAAAUAUUUACACUUAUAUACGUUGAAUAUAUAUAUCUAUAUAAGAUAUAUACACAUAUAUACGCACCAAUCAAUGUAUAUGUACUACUUAAAAUAAAAUAUAUACUACAAUAUACAUAUAUAUAUAUAUACUACAAUAUGUAUAUAUAUAUAUAUAGUUAUAUACUAAAUUGUAAAACAUAUACACUUGUAUAUGUUAAAUACAUACGUCUAUAGAAGAUAUAUACACAUAUAUACGCUUCUAUAGAGAUAUCCAAUUUAUAAAACAUAUACACAUGUAUACGUUAAAUAUACACUCCUAUAGAAGCUAUAUAUACGUGGAUACUCACCAUUCAAUGUAUAUAUACUACUACUUAUAAAAUACACUACAUUAUAUAUACAUUACAAUACAUAUAGAUAUACUUAUAUACUAAUUUAUAAAACAUAUACACAUGUAUACGNNNNNNNNNNNNNNNNNNNNNNNNNNNNNNNNNNNNNNNNNNNNNNNNNNNNNNNNNNNNNNNNNNNNNNNNNNNNNNNNNNNNNNNNNNNNNNNNNNNNNNNNNNNNNNNNNNNNNNNNNNNNNNNNNNNNNNNNNNNNNNNNNNNNNNNNNNNNNNNNNNNNNNNNNNNNNNNNNNNNNNNNNNNNNNNNNNNNNNNNNNNNNNNNNNNNNNNNNNNNNNNNNNNNNNNNNNNNNNNNNNNNNNNNNNNNNNNNNNNNNNNNNNNNNNNNNNNNNNNNNNNNNNNNNNNNNNNNNNNNNNNNNNNNNNNNNNNNNNNNNNNNNNNNNNNNNNNNNNNNNNNNNNNNNNNNNNNNNNNNNNNNNNNNNNNNNNNNNNNNNNNNNNNNNNNNNNNNNNNNNNNNCAGCUCGUCGCUCGGCUUCGGUUCCAUUCCUUGGUUUCUUCUUUCCGCUCUAAUCCAAUCUCUGAGGCAAACUAGAACAUUCAUUGGAUUGCUUCCCAAUGAGUGUCGGUUGUCUCCAAGCUGCUGUCGUCCCUGACUAAAGGCGCUCUCUGAUGCAACGGUUGACAUUGGAACAUUCAAGAUAUCUCUAGCUAAUCUUGAAAGCACAGGAUAUUGUGUUUCAUUACUCCUCCACCAAUCCAGCGUGUUGAUCCUUCGUCUGCGAUCCUCUGGUGCCGUCUGAAGAUAAUAUUUCAGCUAUUCCCGAUAAGUUGAUGUGUAAGUUCUCUCAUCAACAUUGUUCCAAUAAUUUAAAUCAUAAAAUGAAUCAGAAAAAAUACUAUGUGCCGGCCUUUUAGAAGAUGAUGGCUCCUCGGGAGGAUGAGGAGCGACAGUUAGACUGAUAUUUGUAAGUACGGCUAAAUCAAAUAAAUCAGCAUAGUGAUUAUAUAAAUUUUUCUAUGUAAUCCUUUGCAUCAGCAGUAGCCAUCCACAAAUCAGGUUGUAUUUGUUCAGAAUCAUGGUUAGUAUUUAUUUCUAAGUUAAAUAAGAGUACUAAAGUGACACAUAUUAUUAUAUUUCAUGCACGGAUUUACCAUAGCACCAACCAAGUAAAUAGGGGGAAUCGGGAAAAAUAUCUUUAAAAUUUCGUAAAUAUGGUGCCAACAGCUUCUUUAUAACUUUCUUUAUUUUUAUAUUUUUUGAGCAAACCAGAAAUAUCGGCUAUAUAUGCCAAAAUAUUACAAACAGUAGGAUAAUAAGCAUCGGAAAAUUCAACCGUAGCUACAUAAAAUUUUUCUAAAAACUUAACAAGAUCAUUAAUUACAACCCAAUCAGAAUUAUGUAGCAUGCAAUCAGCAGAAUCAGCAAAUGAACCGCAAUGUUGGUUAAAAGCUAGUGUAAUAGGAAUUCUAUAUUUAUAACAAGUUUUUAAAAAUUAAUACGUAGAAUUCCAUCUAGUACCAAUUUCCUCAGGCAUCAAAAUCGGUGUAAGUCCAUUUUCUUAACAUUUAACUUUACAUUCUCUAAUUCUCGAUCUACGAUUAUUUCCUUGAAUAAAACCAACGGCAAGACGAAUUUUUUCAAUAUAAAACUCAAAAAACUCAAGACCAUCUUUUACAAUUAAAUUAUAUAUAUGACAUGCACACUUAAUAUGAAAAAUUUCAGGCAAGGGCGGAGAUAGCGUAGAUUUUAUUUUUGUUAUAGCAGUCUUGUUGUUAGAAGCAUUAUCAAAAGCAAUACAUAAAAUUUUAUUUCCGAUACCAUAAUAUCUUUUAACAAUAGAAUCAGCAAUAAAUUGUCCAGUAUGUUUACAAUCUUCAUCAUAUAAAAAAGCAAGAAUACGUUUUUGCAUCACGAAAUUACUAUCCAUCCAAUGACAAGUAAUGGUUAAAUAAUCAUUUUUAUUUACAGCACGACCAAGAUUAGAAGUUAGGGACAAUCUACAUUGAAUAUUUUUUAACGAUGUUGAUAAAUAAAAACAAUAUUGUGAAUGAAGUCUAAAAAUAUCAGAUCGAAAAGUAAUUCUAGGAAUACCGUUAAACAUCGAAUUAUAAAUUGCUUGUAUAUAACGAAUAAAGACAUCAAAAGAAGGAAAUUAAAAGGCAAACAACCCACAGCUACCAUUUUAGCUAUUUCUUUCCGGUCCCUCAAUUUAUUAUAUUUCUUCGCUACGUGACCGGUUGCUGGGUCCAUUCUAGUUUACGUUGGCCCACCAACAUCCCCACCACCUUGUGCAAUAUUUAACUCUCUUUUGUGAUCUUUAGUUAUAUGUUUCAUUAACGUACCCGUACCCCCUUGCUUGCCUCUACUUCUAUGUUUAUAUAUUUGUUGACAAAUAUUGUAUUGCACCUCAAUAUCUAAUAUACGUUCAAAAAAUUGCCAUACAACACUAGUUCUUUUAUGAGGUCUUGGGGCACUGGGAGGACGGGGAGGGAGAUUAACCGAUUCAGAUCUAACGUUAGCAUCUCCUACUGCAGGUGUCUCAGUAAUAUUUUCAUUAUCUUCGUCUAAAUUAACCGCAUCUACUUCAUUUUCUUCUUCUAUACCGUAAUUUUUCUGAGCUUCUACAUAAUCCAUAUCGUGAGCACCUACACCUAUUUCUUCCUCAAAAGGUGUACCAAGCGGUACCGGAGGCGAAGGCACACNNNNNNNNNNNNNNNNNNNNNNNNNNNNNNNNNNNNNNNNNNNNNNNNNNNNNNNNNNNNNNNNNNNNNNNNNNNNNNNNNCAUAAUAUAAAUUAAAUUAAACUAAAAAUAUUCAAAAUACACAAAUAUAAUAAAAUUAAAUAUUAAACAAUUAAUACAAUAAAGAAAAAUUAAACAUAAGAGAUGGAACGACAAUACCAAAUUUUGAAAGUAUCCGAAGGUUGCGACUUUAGAAACUUCCGCUCGUACUUUUUAAACGAAUAAUUAAAAAAUUAAAGUGAUCACUUUAAGAAAUUAAAUAUAUUGAAUAUUUGAGAAUUUAGAUUUGAAAGAGAAUGAGAUUUGAGAGAGAGAAAAAUUGUGUGAAAAAUGAUUUAAAAUUGUAGGGUAUUUAUAAAAAAUUUUUUGGGAUUAAAAAAUAUUUUUUAAAGUUAAUUUUUUUUUUAAUAAAUGGGCCUAAACUAGCCGUUGGCCCAACGGCUAUAUAGCCGUUUUGGCCCACAAUCCCAUUUUUCUUUUCUUUUUAAAAAGGUAUUCGGGCUGGGCCGGUUAACCGACGGGCUGGAUUAGCCGGGCCCAUUUUAAAAAAUAACCGGCCCAGGACCCAGAAUCCUAAAGCCCUAGGGCUUACCGGGCCAGAUCAAACCGGGUCGGGUUAAUUACGAGGGCCGGGUCGGACCAGCCCAGUUGACACCCUUUAACUUGAAUUUGUGAGGACUUAAACCGAGGGGUUUCGAUAGAUAUAAAACUAGAAUUUGAAGUUUGUUGUAGCAUGGUCUUGAUUCCAUGAGAUGACACCUUGUUUGCAUUUGAACAAGUUUCAAAAAAAUUUUAAAAACACCAGACGCAUCAUUCAAGCGUGAAAUUCACAAAAAUAUUUAACAUAAAAAUACUUUUUCGCAGGAACAAUUUUGUCCGUUUUGAUAUCUGUGGAAUCAAGUGGCUUUUUUGAAAUUUUUGUUUAGUCACAAACCAUGAUGAGACGACUUUAUUCAUUUUUAAUUUCUUCAUUAUAUACAAAGAUAGAACAGAACACGCACACGACAACAUACACUUGGAUCAUAACAUACUUGACUACAAACAUAGAAAAAAACACAAACACCACAAUCACACUUGGACCAUAUUACUUUUAAUUUGUAGUUGUACUAAUAACCAAAGCAUUAAAUUCUGAGAUAAAUAGGUACUCGACAUAAUUAGGAUGCUUAGAAGUGGAUCUGUCUCCAUAUAUAUUCUUCUUUGAUAUAUAUAUCUGGCUGGCUAGCAACCAAUGCAAAGAACAUCAUUUUAGCGGGUUCACAUCUGUCGACUUUGUAAGUUUUACCCCCGCUCCAGUAAUAGUCAUCUCGACAGCACGGCACGGAAAGUAACAGCCAUCCGCACAACGACGAUAACCACAAGCUCCAAGAGUAUUAGGGAAAAGCUUCAUUUGCAGCACUGAUACUUCUGCUGGCAAGUCGCGAAGGGCCGCUAUCACUGCAUUUAGGUUAUCACGAGCAAUAUAUGUAGAAUUUUAAUUCCAUUUUUCAGUCAUUUACUGUCAGCUAUACAAAUUUGAUACAGGUCUUAUAGAGAUAUGUACUCAUCACUGUUUCCUCCGUCAUGAAUAACAAAAGUACAAGCUUAAAAGUAUAUAUAAGCAACUAAUAAAGCAGUAACAUGUGUCCCUGCACGCAGGUGUUCUUUUCAUAUAUACGUUUUUUUAUCCUCUCCACAAACCCAACUAUUAUGGAAUUUUUGAAUUCGAAUUGCCUCACUCCCAAUGAUUUUUAACCACUUAAGGUUGAGAUAAUAUAAAGAACUUCGGUCCAUUUUAAGAGCAUGUUUAUUAAGGCUUGUUUGGAUUUCGGUAGAGGAUAAUAAAAUAAGCUAUAAAAAACACAUGCAUUCGAUGACACAUGUUACUGCUUUAUUACUUGUUCUAUAUAUUUAUACUCGACUAACACUUUUGCUAUUCAAACGUAUUCGUGACAGGAAAUAGUUGGCGAGUUUUAAUUUGUCCUGAAAUUGUUAAAUGCGUACGUGAUUUACUUGUGAGCCCGAGACACAUUUUAAUAUAAAAAUUUCAUAUGGAUUAUUCAAUUUUGAAAAUAAUCAAAACGGACAAACAUUUAUUUGUCAGCAAAUUCCUCUAAUUUUUAAUCAGUGGACUUCUUUUUUUUUUUAAAAAAAAAAAAAAUCUUAAAUAGUUCAUAUUUGAACAAUUUGCUUCUUUUUUUCUUUUUACUUUUAGAUAACUUUUUUCUCGAAACUCAUUCAAAGAAAACGAUAUGUCAUCUCAUGGAUAGAAAACCAUGUUAUAACAUAGAGGUUUGAUUUUGUCUUUGUCUUUUAUUGUAUGUUAAAUAUGUUACCUAGAGAAUAAAAAUUAAAGAGUUAUCAAAGAAUAAAGAAUAAAAAGACAUUUUUAUUUAAACGUGCUUAAAAGAUGAAGAAAUUGAAGCGAAAGUAUAUUUUAGAUAGACGUAAAAAAAAACAUGCACAACACACGUAGCCGAAACCACGGUAUGAUUUGGUGAUUCAUUGACAACUCUAAAUGAAUAUAAAUAACAAAGAAAAAGGUAUACAUGUGUCACAAUUCAAAUUUCGAGAGUCAAACAUUUAACUCAAUCGUAAUGUUGGGCAUGAAAUAUUAAUUUUUUUAAAAUAAAAUUUGUAUAUUUGAAAAUUACGUAAAAGAUCUAUAAGUCAAAAUGAUUGAGUAAUACAAAUGUUUAAAAUACAUACAACAAAUAUUAGGAUCAAAGAAAGACAGUUGUUUGAAUCAAGAAAUUCAUAAAAUGUCAUAUAAAUUAGACGGGGAAUAUAUAUUUAAGAACCGUAAAUGAAUUUGUACGGACUUAAACUGAGAGGCUUCAAUGGAUCAUGUGAAACUUGAAUUUGAAGUUUGUUGUAGCUAGCAUGGUCCGAAUUCAUGAGAAGGCAUCUCGUUUGUAUUUGAACAAGUUUCAAUUUUUUUUUUUAAAAAAAUAGGCGCAUCAUUCAAGUGUGAGCCAUCUACAAAAAAGUUUAACACAAAAGGGUUCACUCUGCAGGAAAUCGUUGUAGCAAGAACGAUUUAUCGGUUUUGAUUAUCUCUAGAAUCAUCAAGUCGUCUUUUUGAAAUUUUUGUUUAAUCACAAACCAUGAGGAGACGACUUUAUUCAUAUUUAAUUUCUUCAUUACAAAGAUAGAACUAAACACGCUCAUCAGGACAACACUUGGAUCAUUACAUACUUGACUGACUACAAUCAUAUAGAACAAAACACAAACGUACAUGCACGACAACCACGCUUGGACCAUAGCGGCCCAUAUUUAACUUUUUAUUUGUAGUUCUACUAAUUAAUAACCAAAGCAUGAAAUUCUGAGAUAGAUAGGUAGAUAAGUAGGUAGGUAUGUAGGCCUCCCUAUAAUCUUCUUCUGGCUUAAUCACAACUGCCGAACACAAACAUUGAACGCGGUUCACAUCUGUCGGUUUUGUAAGUUUUACCCCCGCUCCAGUAAUAGUAAUCCUUACAGCACGGGCAGGGCCAGGAACAGCCAUCCGCGCAAGGAUAACCACAAGCUCCAAGAGUAUUAGGGAAAAGCUUCAUUUUCAGCACUGAUACUUCUGCUGGCAACUCCCGAAGGGCGGCUAUCACUGCAUUUAGGUUAUCAGGGAGCAAUAUAAUUAACAAGAAUAACAUCAAAACAGUUGUGUGUGUGUGUAACACACAAUUCAUAUAAAUAAAACUAGAUAUAUAUGCACGCACCGUUAGUCGUGGCGAAGAGCACAAUAAAGAAGAUAGCAAACUUGAUAACUGAAUGUUGGGAACCCAUUUGAUGAUGAUGAUAAUCAACAGCUAGCACAAGUGUAUAUGUCUGUAUGUUUAUGCUGAUUUCUUUCUUUUGACAAAGAUCAUAUAUAUAUAUAUAUAUAUAUAUAUAAGCCCAGGGAAGUCCCAUUCCUUAAGAGUACCCCUACUAUUUGUUACUAUAUGCUCGCUCCAUUUCUAAAUAGUUGUCCUUUAUUGAUUUCACACUUUCUUUAAAAAAAAAUAUUUAUGAGUUUAUCUUAUCAUAUUGGCUUUAUUAAUUAUGCUGUGAAAAUAUAAAGGGUGAAAAUCAUUUUCCCCUAUCAACUUUACUUUAAAAAUUAAACUCCGCCCUCAACUUUAAACAAUAAGUAUUCUCCCCUUAUUUUUGCUAUUUGUCUUUUUUAAAUACCUAUUUUAUCCUUACACUAGUAAUCUUUCUUUUUCUUUACCACUUUGAAAUUACUAUAUUUUUUAUUUUUAAUAUAUAUAGUAAAUUUUUAUAAAUAAAAAGAAUUAUUUUCUAGGCAAAAAAAUAAGUGAGAAACAUAUAAUAAGAAUAUAAGUUAGUGAUAUUUUAAAUGAAAUAAAUGACCAUGAUAUGGAAAUUUAUUUAUUAAUAAUAAUUAAAACUGUAAUAUUUAUUUAUACUAGUGAAAAUAACAAAUAAAAAUAAUUAUAUAAACAUAUUCCAAUGCAUGUAAUAUAAUAACAUAUAACAAAAAUGAAGAUACAUUUUCUACUAAAUUAAUUCAAAAGUUUACUUAUGUUAUAAAUAUGUACUCCCUCGUUCACUUUUACUUGUCACUAUUUUGCUUUUUGAGGUUAACCUGCAUGAACUUUGACUAACAUUUUAAGAUGUAUAAUUUAAUAUUUAAAUUUAAAAUUUAGAUGAUCAGAAAAUAUAUUAAAAAUUCUAUAGGUUGCAAUCCUUCUUCAUAUUAAUAAAAGAAAAAAUUACAGAAAAUAGCAUACUUAAAACUAGAAUUACGAUAAAUAACAACACUUUUGUAAAAUUACAGUUUAUAGCAAGAGUAGCAUUAUUUUACUCAUUAACUAGGCAAGUGCAUGUUUUACUCUCACUACUUUACAUUUUUCUAUUUACUCCACUAUUUCACCUCCUCCAAAUAUAGCCAUAUCUUUUACCCCUUUUUUUCAUCUUAUUUUUUUAUCAUUUAUUUUUAUUUUUAUUUUUAUUUUUAUUUUUUUAUUUUUCAAUUUAUUUUCUCUCUUCUAUUUCUCUUCCUUUUUUUCCUUUUUGGUUGUUUUUUUAAUUUUUUAAUUUUUUAAUUUUUUUUCUUUUUUUUUCUUUUUUCAUAUUUGAAGAUAAUUAUCUCCAUGAUCUUCAAGAUUUCAAAAUAAAACAUCAUUACUGUCUUUCACUCUCGAAUAUCUCUACCUUUUUUUCUUGUUAGUUUUUUUCAUCUUAUUUUUUAUCAUUUUAUUUUGAUUUCUUUUUCUUUCUCAUGUUUUUCUUUCCACUAUAUUUUCUCUCUUCUAUUUCUUUUUUUUUUUCCCUUUUCCCCCUUUUUCCUUUCUCAUAUCUUUUUUUUUUCUAUUUUCAUUUUCUUCUUCUUUUUUCUAUUUUGUUUUGUUUCUUUUUUUCUUUUAUUUUUACACUUCUAUUUCUUUUUCUUCCUUUUUUUUUUCUUUUUCACUUCACUGUUUUUCGUUUUUUUCUUUUUAUAUUUUUCUUUUUUUUCAUUUUUUUACUCUUCUAUCUCUAACUUUUAUUUUGAAAAGAUAAAUAUGUAUAUCACAUACACAUAUUCAAAAAACAUACAUAUGUAUUUACGCAAUACAUAUCAUAUUCAUAUUAAACAGUAACAAGCAUAACUAUACUAUAUAUCUUCAUAUGUAUUUGCGAAAUACAAAGGUGACUCAUAUAAAAUAAGAAUAUACCUAUGGAUCAGGUAUGUUUUCUGUAAAUGCAUAUGCAGAGUUAUAUGUAUUUUAUACGGUGUUGGAUUUGUCUUUGAACUGUACAUACUAUGUCAUUUUAGAGGGUGACAUAUGUACUUAUUUAUUUUCUUUUACUGUUUAAGAUAUGUAUCAUGUUUUUUUUAUUACCUAUAUGUAUAUGUAUAAAUUAUCAUUUUUGUUAUAGAGAUUUUGUGUCCUAUAUGUUUUUAUAUACAUGUGAGUCAGAUAUGUAUUUCUGUAAAUACAUAUACAGAUAUAUAUGUAUGUUUUUUAUCGUAAAUACAUAUGCAGAUCUAUAUGUCUAUUUAUUUUAUAUAUUUUUUGAAUGUGUAUUAUAUGAUAUAAAUAUUUGUCUUUUAAAAAUAAAGGAUAGAAUAGAAGAGUACCUAAUAAUAAUUUAUUAAAAAUUUAAUUUAUCAAAUUAGUAUUAUUAAUCUGUGAAAAUAUAUAUAUGUGAAUAUACACACUUUCUAUAGUUAUUUAAUCAGUUUAAUUUAUUAAAUUAGUCUUAUCAAUCUAUGUAUUUUUUGGACUUGACGGGCGCUGUUCCUAUUUUUUCGUUAAUAUACAUCAUGGUGUAGAUACACUGAUUUUUCACACAAAAAAAUGUAUACUCCCUCUUAUUAGGCUGAAGAAUGUUCUUACUUUCGUUUUUAAAUGUUCUUACUUUCGUUUUUUCCUUUUUAUAUUUUGUCAAAGUAAAUGAUCAGUUGCCUCAAGUUUUUAAUUCCAUUUUAUUUUUACUAUACAAAUUAUAGUAACUGAUAGACAUUAUUUAUAUACAAUUUUUUUUAUAUUUAUUCAUUCUUAAAAUUAUUAUGUGUAUGCAUGAUACUAAUAAUAAUUAUUAUCAAUAUUUUAUUUUUAUAUAUAAGUAUUCCCUCCAUCUCAAAUUAUUUAACAUGUUUGUUAGAAAAAUUAUCUCAAAAUAGUUGAUAUAUUUAAGAAUUCAAGAGAUAAUUUAUCAUUUUUUUCAGUUAUACCCAUAUUAAUGGAAGAAGAUUUAUCUAAUCAAGAUUAAAUUAUGCCAUAUUAGUCAAUUUGCACCACGUAUAUUAAUUUCUCGUUAAGAAUUGUGCAAAAAAUAAACAUGCUAAAUACUUUGAGACGGAAGGAGUGUAAUUUAAUACUUUCUCCAUUCAUAUUAUUAGUUAGUCAUUUUUCUUUUCCGUUAAUAUUAGUUAGUCAUCUUCAAAAAUUAUGAAUAAGAAGGUAAUAUACUAAUUUUACUAAUCAACGAGGAAACAUGCACUAAUUGUCUCAGCGUUCAAACAUAUCUCAGGUACAUUCGAUUCCAACUCCCUAAAAGUAGUUAACAUUAAUUAACGCGAUGACAAACCUCGUCAACUAAUGAAGAAAGCUACUCCCUUUAUUUUUAAACCAGAUAUAUAUCGAAAGGUCGUGCUAGCACAAGUUCAAUAUAUAUUAUUUUUUAUUUCGAUUAUGUGAUAUAAAUAAAAUUUAGAUAAUUAGUUAUAUUUUUAAUGUGUUUUUAAAUAUUUUAAGUUGUUAGUUAUUGUAAUUUAUCAUACUUUUAAAAAAUUAUAAUUUACUAUUUUAAGUCGUUAGUUAUGGUAACUUAUAGCAUUCUCCUUGUUCAAACUUUAUGACAUUGAUAGUCAAUUACUUUUUAAAAAUAAUUAAAAAUUUUAAUUAUUGUGAUUUAUAAUGCUUUCUUCUAUUCCAAUUUAAGUAACUAUAUAAUUUCGGGAAUCAAUCAAAUAUCACAAUUGAAGUAGUGAAACAUACUUGUGAAAAGAAAAAAUCAAAUGGGCUUAUCAAGUUAAUUUAAUACAUCAAAGAGUUAAGUUAUCAUUAUAUGUUUAUUUUACCUUUUAAUUAAAUAAUUUUUUUUAAUAUUUAGAUAACUUAUAAUAAUUAAUUAAGGGUGAUAUAGUAAGUUAUAAUUGAAGCAGUUGAAACAGAUAUGUCAUAAAUAUCUAUUUUACUUUUAUUUAUUAAGCAUUAUUAAUUUUCUAAUACGUAAGAGUUAACCAAAUAUCACGAUUGAAGUAGCGAAACAGAUAUGUCUUCAAUGACUCAUAACAACUAAUUAGAAGUGAUACAACAAAGUUGCUAUAAAAAUACUUGUGAAAAAAGUUUUAGUGGACCUCAUAUAAGAUGUCAAGUUAAUAUUCCCUCCAUUUCGGAAUAAAUGAAUUAUUGGGGUAUUUAUUGGUGUUUCAAAAUAAGUGAAUCGUUAAUUUUUUUUUUCCAAAAUUACUCUUAUGAUUUGACAAGCAAAAGAGACUGCAAUUUUUUUUUCGGGUAAAAGAGAAUUCAAGGAUAAAAAUAAAAAUUAAUGUCUUUGAUGCUUUUUUCUUAAUUUGUGUGUCAAAAUUCAAUAAUUCAUUUAUUUUGAAACGGAAGGAGUAUAAAACAUCAAGAGCUAAUUUAUCUUUUUAUAUCUAUUUUAUCUUUUUGUUAAAUAUUAUUAAUUUUUUAAUAUUUAAAUGAAUUAUAAUAAUUAAUUAAGAAUGAUAUAAUAAAAUUAUGAUUGAAACAACUAAAACAGACAUGAUAUAAUAAAAUUAUGAUUGAAACAACUAAAACAGACAUUUCAUAAAUGUCUAUUUUAUUUUAUUUUAUUAAAUAUUAUUCAUUAUCUAAUACGUAAAUGACAUAUAAUAAUUAAUUAAGAGUGAUAUAGUAAAAUUACAAAACAAGCAGACAUGUCGACGAAUACGUAUGGUUGAAAUAACUGAAGCAGAUAUAUCAUAAACCCUUAUGAUGAGGCCUUUUCCCAAAUAUCACGUACAGCGAUAGCUUUAAUCUACCAAACUAUUUUUUUAUAGUAAAAUCAUGAAGUAAACACCACAUCAACGAAAAGAUACCUGCUUUACCCCAUUUCUAUAUAGUAUUAAUAAGUGACCUUUUUUAAAGAUACCUGCUUUACCCCAUUUCUAUAUAGUAUUAAUAAGUGACCUUUUUUUAAUUUACUUUAUUUUAUUUUUAAAUGAGUGAUGUUUUAAGCUUUUAAAAAUAAAUUGGUCAUAUUCUUCUAAAUUUAUAAUUAUUUUGCCUAACAAAUCGUUAAUUAGAUUUUCUUUUUCAGAGUAUUUAAUGAGGAAUAAGUUAUUUUCUGCAUUUCUUUUUAUUUGCUUCCUUAAUUAAUUAAAUUAGAUUAAUAUAAUUUUUAAAAAUUAAAAUAUAGAUAUUCAAAAAUUAUAUAAAAAGUAUUAUAAAUUACAAGUUUUUUUUUGAUUAAUAAAUACAUCUUAAAAUAUUAAAUUAAAUUUGUGCUUUUUAACUCUGAAAUAAAAAGAAAUGAAAGAAGUAGUAUAACAAUACAUCUUAUUUCGUUUGUGUGUUAUUAUUCCUUACGUGACGUGUCUAAGUUAAAAAAUUCACUUAUUUAAAAACGGAAUAAGCAUUUACACAUACACAUCUUCUCUUUUACAAAAGUAUUUAAUAAUUUCAGGACAAAUUAAAACUCGGCAACUAUUUUCUUUGUCAUGAAUACUAUUGCUAACAAAAGAACAAAUUAUAAAUAUACUUUCUCCAUCUUAAAAAGAAUGAUCUAAUUUAACUUGUACGAAGUUUUAGAAAGUAAACAAAACUUUUGAUUCUUGUGGCUCUAAAUUAAAAUUAUGUCAAAUGUAUCAAAAUAUUCAUCAAUUUUGUGAUCUUAAACAUAUCAUAUGUCAAAUUAAAAUUAAAAUAUUAUUAAAAAAAAAUAAUCAUUUAUUUUGAAACAAGCUAAAAAGAAAAGUAGCUCAUUUGUUUUUGAUAAACGGAUGGAUAGAAAACAAGUAAUAGAGCAAGACGUGUCAGCAUGCAUGUAUUUUUUUUUUAAGUUACUAUUCAUCGUGUCUCGAAAUUCAACUAGUACUAAAUUUUUAAUUCUCUCAUUCUCAAUGAUUUUUAACCACGUCAAGUUGAGAUAAUAUUAAGAACUUGAAUAGUAAUUUUUAAUAGUUUAGCGAGAUUCGUGAAAUCAAUUUGUUUUGAAAAAUGUUCUUUUCAGAAAAAAUAAAGAGGUAGUUUAUGUUUAAAAAUUUAGACAUUAAUGUUGACUAGAAAUUAGUGUUUGAUUAAAUUUUUUAAUAUGUUUUUAAAAUUCUUUUUCUUUUUCAAUAAUGAUGGCGGAACACUAUCAUUGAUACUCACUAGUGUUUUUUUUUUUCAUUUUAUUGAUCAAAUUUUAAAUAUUUCUAUUUAAAAAAAUGUUUUUGAAAAAACUGAAUUUAAAAGCUUGUUAAAUAUGCUAUCAAAACACACUAAAGUGGUUAAAAAUCACUGAGAGUGAGAAUUUAAAAUUUCAUAGUAAUUGUGAUUUUGAGAUAUGAUGAAAUAAUUAUAACGCCUCAUUCAUUUUAAAAACAACACAUUGCCGAAUCUCUAAACUUGACAUAAACUUUUAGUUUGACAUUUCAAUUAGUUCUUGUUCAUUUUAAAAAUCUAAACUAGUGUCCUGUUGUCGAGAUUUGUCCUCCCAUGAAAGAUUUAAUGUUGCUUUUUACAUUUCGACUUUUUAUUUUUUUUUAUUUGUUAGAUAACUAAGAAGAUAUUAAUGAGGUUCUUUUAAUUUUAUUUUUUUAAAUAAAAAGAAAUUACAUAAUCAAGAAAUUAUUAAAAAGUUAAUCCCAUCAAGUAUGCAAUAUUAAAUUCUUUUAAGUACUCCAUACGUCUAAUUAAUAAUAUUUGUCCAAUAAUAAAAAGGCUUAAAGUUUUAGCUCAUUAUCACUUCAUCGAGUUUGAAGUUGAUUUUAUAAAUCGGACCACUAGUAAAAGUUAAUUUUUACAUGUCAAAUCAAUAUAGUAAGUUUGAACCUAUAUGUCAAACCUCAUUAUAGUGGUAGUAUUGUAUUAAAACUUAAGGGAAAAUGAAACUAGCAAAUUUAAAUUCAUAAUUAAGAUAAAUAGUAAUAAUUCACAAAAAUUAUAUGAAAUAGCAAAAGAAUAAUAUUUUAGUGUCUCAUUAUAUUCCUUUGUUUUUUUCCUCUUUCUUUCUUUUAUAUCUUUGAUUUUUUUUUUCUCUGAUUUUUUCCUAUUUUUUCUUUUUACGUUUUUUCUCUCUCUCUCUCUUUUUUUUUUUUGACUGAUUUUAAAAGCUUGCUAAACAUGCUGUCAGGACAGAUUAAAGUGGUAAAAAAACAAUGAAAGUGAGAAUUUAAAAUUUUCACAGUGAUUGAGCUUCCAGAUAGGAUGGAAUAAUAUAAUCAGCACAUGUAUUUUAUGGUAUGAAUUUUGCUAAACUGUUCAUGUCAUAGCGAAUAGUUGGGGGAGUCUUAAUUUGUCCUGAAUCAUUAUACUGUAUUUUUGUUAAUUAGUGUAUGUUCUAAGUGGCUUCCUUUCAUUAGUUGCAAAGGAUUGUCCUCCAUUAAUGUUGGUUUCUCCACUAACUUUUUAAAAUUUUCAUUUGUUAAAUGUAAUUAAGAAUGUUUUUUUAAUUUUUUUUUUAUAUAGGAGAGUUUUACAUAAUCAAAAUUUUUUUAAAAAAUUAAUUUCAUUUGGUAUGAAGUAUUAAAUUCUUAUAACCAAUAUUUUUUGUGUAAAGUAAACGAGUUGCAUCGAGUUUUAAAUUCCAAAGAGUGAUAUUCUCUUUGCAUUUCUGAAUAAGUGAUAUUUUGAGGGUAUUUUUUUAAAAUUACCCUUGUUUAAUACAUGAAAUUUUACAUAUAAAGAUUAUGUUUUUCCUGAAGACAUUUAACUUAGGAUAAAUUUGUAAAAACAAUUUCUAUGUUUUAGGAAUGAGUAGGUUGUCAAAAAAUGUGUCCAAGCUAAAAAGGGGAUGGAGUAACAUAAUGUACUACUCAAAAUAGUUGUAAGAUAUACUUUUAACGAAAAAUGAUUAAAUUUACUUCUUUAUUUUGAAAAAUUGAUUAAAUAUAUCUUUUAUCAUACUUUUGAUCAAAUUUAGCCUCACUAUCAUACUUUGAGGCCAAAUUUACCCCUUUGCUAUAAAAAAAUUGGCUAAAUACUCUCCUUCGUCAUAUUUUGGGGGUCAAAUUUACUCUCAUUGUUAAUAAACUUUUCACAUGCACCCUUCUUUAAUAGAAAAAACUAAAUCAAUGUUAAAAUGAUCUAUUUUGUUAAAACAAAGCACACUCUAAUUUAACUCGCCCGAUCCGACUCGAACUACAAAAAAGACAAACAAAUAUCCUCCCUCAGUUUUGUUGAUCAAAUUUUUUUCCACGAGAUUAAAUCACUAGAUAUUUAUCAGUGCAUAACUCAUGAAAAUGUAUUCUUAUCAGUGCAAACACAAAUAAAUAUAUCCCUCCCUCAACUCAUGAAUCUGCAUCAAUGCAGAGUUUAAAUGACACUUAACAAUCAGAUCCAACAGAUUACGCCCACUGAAUAUUUCUCCGGAUAAUUGAGUUAAGAUGUCUCCUUAUGUGUCAAUCGUGAAAUCUCUUAAUUGUUAUGUCUUUAUAUGCAAUUUGGAUCUACACAAAUUUUUUCAUCAUGUUAUUUUCUCAUCACAUUUAUCUGCCGAUUCUAGAAUCUAGAUGCACAUAAAAUUACAUAUCAAAAUUUUAAAUUUGAACGUAACUGAAACAUGAGCAGAAUUUGUAAUAAAUAUUUUCUUUAAUCCCAUGCUUCUGCCUUAUCCCAUUUAUUUUUACUUUUUGUUUAUUUAUAAACAACCUAGAUAUCAGUGUUGCACGUUGAAAGAGAAGUAUAUUUGUAUACUAAAAAAAUUAUUGCAUGUUAAAAGAGAAAUAUAUUUAUUCAUUGAAGAAUUCGACCAACAAAAUAGAGGGAGAGAUAUUUAUUUGUUGUGAUUGGAUCGGACAAUUAGAUUAGGGUAUAUUUUAUUUUAAAAGAAAAUGAGUCAUUUAACGUUGAUUUGAAUUUCCUAUUAAAAGAAGGGCAAAAUUCAGAAGUAGCAUACUUAAGAGCCUAAUUGUUAUUUUUAUAGAAAUAGUUUCAUAAUUACAUUUUAUAGCAACUUAUAUUUUGUAUUUUUCAAAAAUGUUACUGUAAAAAUACAUCUACAAUAAAUUUACUGCACUUAAUUAACUGAAAUUAGUUGAGUUAUAUAUGGUAUAAUUACCAAUCAAGUAAAUAUGUAGAUUCCUUUUCCAUUUAAAACUCUUAAAAAACAUGACUUCCGUUAUAUCUUCAGAAUUCAAAUUUCAGUUUUUCCCCAUUAACAGCUGCAUCUUUUCUUAGCAAUUUGUUCCAAACCACCCCCGUUUUUGGAAAUUCAAGCAUUGCUGUUGUUGAAUCAAAUUGGACUGAUUCUUCUUCGAAAUCAACAACAAUUGCAAAACGAUGCAGUAAUUUGUUUAAAUCAAAUUUAAUUGUUGAUUCUUUUGUUCCAUUUGUUUGAAUUCAACUGUCAGUUGAAAAUUCAACCAUUACUACUGUUUAAGGUAUAUAAUCAUUAUUGUUAUUUAGUUCAUUUUUUCUUUUAACCCUUACUGGUGUGCCUAUCAAGUUGUUGUUGUCGUUGUUAAUUUGUAUGUGAAAAAAUUGUAAAACAAAUUCGAGUUAGAAUCAAGGCAGCAGUAAAAUUGGAAUUCAAAUAUCUGUAGGAAAUUUCAGCUUAAAAGCUGUUUCAAGGGAAAAAAAGUCAGUAUUCGACUAUUAUUUUGAGGAUCGUUUGUUGUUAUUUUGAUUGUUUUAACAAUAGAGCAAAUUGUAAAUAACUUUCGAAUUGAAGUUUAUUCAAUUAUUUUAUGAAAUACUAGAUAAAUGAAUGAUCGAAUGUAUCUGUUGAAUUUGAUGAUAUUCUAUGAACCCAUAUAAAAGUAAAAAAUAUCUGCUCCAUAUGUAUUUUUGAUGUUCUUAAUGGUAACACUGCAUACGUAUUUUUGAUAUGGUUAGUGUUAACACUGCAUAUGUAUUUUUGUUUUGUUGUCGGAAUUCUAUAGUAUAAAUGUAUAUUUGAAAAGAUAUUUUACUUUAAGCAAAUGUGGUGUAAAUGUAUUUUUUAAUUGAGUUGUUGGCUGUGUAACUUUGUUUGCAUUUACAUAUGAAAAGUGCGUGUUAUAACAAGUGACAGCUGACAAAUAUGUAUAUUUAUUUAUUUAUUGGUUAAAUCAAGUAGAAAUGAGAAGCAUACCAGUCCUUGUGAAGCACUCUGGCCGAUGGACGUACGAAAAGAACUUUGAAGAAUAUGUCACUGAUGCUAUACUGUUGAGCACAUCAGCAACAUUCGUUGAGCUGCAUGAUGUUUUGGCAUCUCACUUAAGUGUGGAUUUAUAAUGCUCCGAUUUGCUGAACAGAAAUGCUACACGGUGCUCAUGACUCUGAAAGACCACUAGCUAACCCAUGGCUGAUAUUUGUACCUGUACACUGUAUAAUAUAAAAUAAAAAUGCGGAAACAUACACUAAAAGGCGAUAAGGUUCACAACUGAACAUAAUCUGAAAUAUAUGACAUCUGAGUAGGGUAAUGGGAUACCCAAAACAAAAUAAAAUACUGAAAUCAUGAUAGUCUGCAUAUAGUCUGACUCUAGUCUGAAAGCCUCUACUGUCUGAAUAAUCUAAAUAAAGAUUUGAUGGGACAUACCCCCAACUAACUCCAACUAAUCAACUAAUAAAUGAGAUAAUAAAGAAACCAUCAUGUCCUCGAAGGAUGAGGACUCACUUCUGAAUCUAGCUGUUGAAAAUUGAGAUCUACUGCUAAUCUGGAGCACGUGUCUCUGAACCUAUGGUGUAAUAUAAAAGAAAGCAACAUAGAGCGAAUGCGUCAGUACAUAUGUACCGAGUACACAUGUGAGGUAGGCUAAAUGAAAUGGUUCACAUGCAUGAAUGAUGCUAACUGACUGUCUACCAUGAACGUGAGAAUACAUACAUAUAUACGUAACUGUAAUUGACAACAUAAUAUUAUGAUUUACUGAGCCUGAAUACUGAUAACAUAAUAUGACUGAUAACACGGGUGACUGAAUCUGAAUGUGACUGAUGACAUGGGUGACUGAAUCUGAAUAUGACUGAUGACAUAUUUGACCAUAUCUGACAUUCUUGAAUCUGGUGGAACUAUCUAAGUUUCGUACUGUAUCUGAGUUGACUGUAUCUAAUAGUCCUGAAAUCUAUAGAACUAUCUGAGUUCUAUUACUGAAACUGAUUGACUGUGACUGUCCUGAUUCUUUAACAUGAAACUGUGGGAAGUAGUAUCUAACCGACAUGCCCCAAUGGUGCUCUAAUAGCUAAGUUGGGAUCCAAUCUCUGCCCUGAUUGAAAGGGUGUCAAUACUGUGUCACUGGUAAAGACAACAUAUGAGUAACCCUCAUAUAACAGGUAAAUCUAGUGAGAAUGGUGGGAAACCUCAUAUAACAGUUUAAGCCACCUUAUCUACCCUCAUAUAGCAGGCUACGAUGUCUCAACCUAUGCUGGCUACAUAGUUCUGAAAUGCAAGGAUUUAUUUCUAGGAAUCACACCUUCAUAUAGCAGGUGAGUUCCCAUCCUUAGGUUCACUCGGUGCUAAUUUCUAAUCCCAUCUGAAUAGACACUAAACAUGAUGUACUAAAGCUGAACUAGGAAUUCCUGAGGACCUGGCUGAAGACAGUCUCUGACUCUGUGUGGCUUUCCAUAACCAAAGCAAAUGCCACUACCCGUUCUACACACACCCUGAUGGUGCUUACCAUAAGUUUGACACUGAGGAUAGGUGUGGGCACUGCUAACACUGGCCUGGGUCUUAGAGCCUGGCGCUCUAUUUGGGUUAUCCUCUAUGAACUUAGGAACUGGAGCACUUGCUAUAGAGGGAGCUAGAACGGAUGACUUAGGAUGAAACUGAGAACGGUUUUAUCCUUCCAAUUUAGGCUGACUGAAAUUGAAGCUACCUGUCCUAGCUUUCUUAUUCUGCUUUUCCCUCUGCUUAAUUUUCUGCUCCUCUAUCUGUUGAUCAUGGGUCAUAAGUUUAGCUAAGGUCUUGUCAUUGUUCAGCAUGGAGAAUUUGCACUCAUUAAUCAUGAUGUCGUUCACCCCAGAAGAGAACUUACUCAUCUUGGAUCUACUGUCUACAACCACAUGAGGGGCAUACCUGGCUAAUUGAGUAAACUUAAAAGAAUACUCUUUCACUGUCAUAUUGCCCUGCCUGAGGUUGAUGAAUUCAAGAACCUUGGCCUUUUUAAGCUCUUGGGGAAAGAACCUGUCUUAGAAAGUAGUGACAAACUCUUUCCACUCUAUGGAACCUGCAUCAUCUGGCCUUUCGAACUUCCACUAUUUAAACCAGGCAUGAGCCACAUCCUGCAACUGGUAUGCAUCUAGCUCAGCACUCUCAAUAGUAGUCACCCUCAUGGUAUCUGUCUCUUUCUGAACUUGAUCUAUGAAUUCCUGAGGAUCUUCAUCUACCUUAGACCCGAGGAAAACUGGAGAAUUCAUUCGGGUGAAGUCCCGAAUCCUCGCUGCAUUUAAGUUGACCACUGAGUUGGCCGAAAUAACUGUUGGCCGCUCAUUAUUAGCAACCACUGAUUGAGCAAGAGUGGUAAAUAUUGUCCUGAACUUUGCAUGGGAAAUAUGUUCACCCAAAGGUUCUUCGGGCUAAGGGGCUGACUGGUUUCUUCUCUUAGGAGGUAUAUUCUGAAAUAAAGAGAAGAAACGGAUUAGACUGAGAGACUGACUUGUGAUUAUGCUCACCGGUACGACAUGAAUAUUGAAAGAGGGGAACUGUUCUUAAAAUAUCUUAUAACCUCUCGCACACAAAUGUGGCAUGCAACACACCCAUGUCCAAGACUCUACUAGAUACGACUUUUAGACUUCCUAGGACUUUAUUGAACCUUAGGCUUUGAUAUCAAGUUUGUAAUGCCCUAAUUUGCUGAACAGAAAUGCUACAUGGUGCUCAUGACUCUGAAAGACCACAAGCUAACCCAUGACUGGUAUUUGUAUCUGUACACUGCAUAAUAUAAAAUAAAAAUACGAAAACAUGCACUAAAAGGUCAUAAAGUUCACAACUGAGCAUAAUCUGAAAUAUAUGACAUCUGAGUAGGGUAAUGGGAUACCCAAAAUAAAAUGAAAUACUGAAAUCAUGAUAGUCUGCAUAUAGUCUGACUCUAGUCUAAAAGCCUCUACUGUCUGAAUAAUCUGAAUAAGGAGUUGAUGGGACAUACCCCCAACUAACUCCAACUAAUCAACUAAUAAAUGAGAUAGUAAAGAAACCAUCAUGUCCUCGAAGGAUGAGGACUCACUUUUGACUCUAGCUACUGAAAAUUGAGAUCUACUGCCAAUUUGGAGCACGUGUCUCUGAACCUAUGGUGUAACAUAAAAGAAAGCACCAUAGAGCAAAUGCAUCAGUACAUACGUACCGAGUAUACAUGUGAGGUAGGCUAAAUGAAAUGGUUCACAUGCAUGAAUAAUGCUAACUGAUUGUCUACCAUGAACGUGAGAAUACAUACAUAUAUACAUAACUGUAAUUGACAACAUAAUAUUGUGAUUUACUGAGCCUGAAUACUGAUAACAUAAUAUGACUGAUAACAUGGGUGACUGAAUCUGAAUAUGACUGAUGACAUAGGUUACUAAAUCUGAAUGUGACUAUGACAUGGGUGACCAUAUCUGACAUUCCUGAAUCUGGUGGAACUAUCUAAGUUUCGUAUUGUAUCUGAGUUGACUGUAUCUGACAGUCCUGAAAUUUGAAGAACUAUCUGAGUUCUAUUACUGAGACUGAUUGACUAUGACUGACAGUCCUGAUUCUGUAACAUGAAACUGUGGGAAGUAGUAUUUAACCGACAUGCCCCAAUGGUGCUAUAAUAGCUGAGCUGGGGUCCAAUCUCUGCCCUGACUGGAAGGGUGUCAAUACCACGCCACUGGUAAGGACAACAUGUGAGUAACCCUCAUAUAACAGGUAACUUUAGUGAGAAUGGUGGGAACCCUCAUAUAACAGGUUAAUCCACCUCAUCUAUCAUCAUAUAGCAAGCUACGAUGUCUCAACAUAUGUUAUCUACAUAGUUCUAGAAUGCAAGGAUUUGCUUCUAAGAAUCACACCCUCAUAUAGCAGGUGAGUUCCCAUCCUUGGGUUCACUCGGUGCUAAUUCCUACUCCCAUCUGAGUAGAUAUUAAACAUGAUGUACAGAAGCUGAUCAUGAUCUAAGUUACUAAAUUUCGUUGACUGACAGAAUACUAUCGAUAUCUGAAACUGAGUGAGAGUCAUGAGAUUGUGGAGAUGUUUUCUUAAUUCAUAAGACUAUCUGAAGUCUAAGAGUUCAUAUCUUGACUGAGGUAUCAUGAAAACAUGACAUGGCUCCAGGCACACAACUAAUAUUUCGGGUACAAGUACCCCCAGGACUCGAUAGAAGAAAACUGACAUAGCAUGAUUUUCUUGAAAACUGGACUAGCAUCAUAAUACAUACUACAUUUAUAGGAGCAUUUCAUCAAACAUGUAAUGGGUAUAAACUUGUACAUACAUAGGGACUUCAUGAUAUCAUGCUAAAAAAGAGAAUAUUCCUUCAUCUAGGCAUUUAGUCAAACACAUUGUAAGCAUGGUACAUAUAAACAUCAUUAUUCAAUUCUAAAUUCCUCAUUCAAGGGUUUAAACCGUAGGGUUGCAUGAAUCUAUGACUAUAGUAAUUAAAUCCAUAUAGAAAUUAUCAACAAUCACGGAAUAGAAUCCAAUUUCACAUUUAUCAACAUGAACAUGAGCAUCCAAAUCAUGAAAACAUAUAGAAAAUCCAUAACCUGAGUUUAGAAAAGGGAUUCUGGGACUUCAUGUAUGAAAGGGGUCCAUGAAUGAACACUAUGCAUACCUGGACUAAUGUUCUUGAACUUGGAGAAGUGAAAAUCCCUUAAUUCUUGAAGAGGAUUGGAUCUUGUUCUUGGAGAUUGAAUUUAGAGAGAAACCCUAAUUUUAUUUAAUGAAAUACUAAUAGAUAAAGUGGCUAAAGUCGUGAAAAAAAGGAUAUAUAUAGACGGGUGCUAAAUGACCAAAAUACCCCUGUUAAAACAACUUGGAACAGUUGAAUGUGUCGUUCAACAGUGGCCUCCGACGGUUCGUCGGACCUGAGAUGGUCCGUUGGGCCAUACCAUCGGACCUGGGUAGAACCUGAUGUCACUGGACGUAUCCGACGGUGGACUCCGACGGUCCGUCAGGUCAUGCCGUCAGACAGGAACAGAAACUGGGUCUACUACCUCCGUUCGAUGGCGGUCUCCGACGGUCAGUCGGACUACCGAUGGCACAUCGUGUUCUGCUGUCAGAACGACGUAACCUGACUGUUUCCGUAAAAUAUCCAUAACUUCCUCAUCUGAUACCAUGUGUAUAUAAAUAAAUUCAUAUUUCAAAUCAAGUUCAAACAUCCUGGUGAUGAUUUCAAGCUAAAAAAAGGCAAGGGUAUUACAGGAGUUAACCAGAAAACGUAUUUUAGUAGAAUAUCAAAUCACUGCUAAUGCAGGGAAGAUAGAAAUAUAUAACGAUAUGGGUUUAAAAGUGUUUAUAUUGCAGAAAAAGCUGAUACAAUACAUGAAUUGUCUUCCUUUAUAUGUAAACAUUUUGGAUAAUGUUGUAGGGAGCAACUUGGCAAGUUUAUCUAUAUGUGUUGCUGGAAGAGGAAUCAACCGUAACAACUUGGAAAAAGUGAUAAAUACAACAAAUGAAGGAGCUUUGGUGGUUUGUGAAGAUACAAAAGCAUUAUAUUUUUUUGAGAUGGAUACUGUUGAGGUGAUUAUCUCAUACCCACAUCACAAGCAUGUUGAGGACGACCAAGUUUACUUGACAAAAAAAAAUUUAAAGUCAGUCAUGAAGGACUAUGCAAUUAGGGAGAAGUUUCAAAUGCGCAGUAAAAGAUCUAGUAAGAAAACAUACGUACAUUCUAUAUCACUCUGAUUUUAUUUAAUAUUACUUUGGAUAUGUAUUUUGAAUAUAUUUAAUCAUGUUUGAUGCAGUUAUACAUUGUUUUGCAAAUCAAGAAACUGCGAGUUCUUAAUGCGUGUAUCAGGCAUGGGAGACACUCGAAUGUUUAGAAUUAGAAGAUUCAUACCUGAACAUACUUGCCCAGUGAAGGACAAGAUCUAUCCAAAGGUUCAUGAAACUAGUAUGUUAAUAACUGGUAUGGUUAAAUAGAAAUUCAAAAAUCACAAACAAAAAUACAGUGCGACGGAAAUAAAAAAUGACAUGAAGGAAGAUUUUGGUAUGGAUUUGACAUACACUUUAUGUUGGAGGGCCCAGGAAAAAGCGUUAGAAGAGUUGAGGGGUAAGCCAUCAGCAUCUUAUGAGAAACUGCCAUCAUACUUAUAUGUGCUGAAUAAUACUUAUCCGGAGUCACAUAUAAGAAUGAAGAAGACAGAUAAUAAUGCAUUCGUGUAUGUAUUUAUUGCUCUACAUAUAUUCAUUAAAGGAUUUGAUCAUUGUAGACCAGUCGUAGUUGUUGAUGCUAGUCAUCUGAGAGAAAUGUAUACUGGGGCAUUUGUAACAGCAUGUACAACGAACAGAGCAGGUUAGUAUCAUUUAAUAAUAAUUACAUUGUAUAACUGGUUGUAUUUUUUUGUAUUUCUGCUGUUGACUUGAAAAAUACAUAUAUCCACUUCAUAUAUACAUAUUUGUAUAUAAUUACAUAUAGUUUCAAAGUUUCCUGAAUGAAACAUGUAAAAUUGAUUAUGUUUGACAGUUAGAUGCAUAUAGAUUUUAUUAUAUGUAAUUGAUACCAUUUCUGGUAGAUAAAAUAUACAUUUUAAUUGACCUAUAUUUGUAAUAAAUUCAUAUGCAGUUCCUAACUGUAUUUAAAUUGGCAUACACAGAUUUUUUUUUAUAUUUGCAGGUCAUAUAUUUUCUUUGGCAUAUGGUGUGCUUGAUUCUGAAAAUGAUGCAUCCUGGACAUGAUUCUUCGAGAAUCUAAAAGAAGCGUACAGGGUAAGACAAAACAUGUGUGUUGUGUCUGAUAGGAAUCCAAGUAUCAUAAAGGAUGUUGGUGAUGUGUACGAAGAUGUUCCACAUUAUGCAUGUAUGUGGCAUCUAUAGGAAAAUGUAAAAAAACUUUACAGAAAGUCACACGAUGCAUUGUCGGAAAUCUUUUAUACAAUGGCCAAAUCAUAUUCAGAGUCAGAAUUCAACAUGUUAAUGGAAAAAGUUGAGGCAACUGAUAUUAGGGUGAAGAAAUAUUUGAAAUUGGCGGGUUACGAAAAGUGGGCUAGGUCGUAUGCAAUAGUUCACCGAGGAUGGACUUUAACUUCAAACAUUGUGGAGUCAAUAAAUGGAGUGCUUGUAUCAGCUAGAGAACUGACAAUUUAUGACUUUCUUGAGGAAGUUCAAUAACUGUUUGCAAAAUGGAAUAGUGCAAAUAGGCAGGAGGCUUCAUAUACCUUCACAACACUCAUUAGAAAGUUUAAUGACAUACUCAGUGAGAACGAGGCUUUGUGUACCCGUAUGACGGUAUGACCUUUUAGAUUUGUGGUUAUUAUAAUUAUGGAAACAUAAAUAUGAAAAUACUUUCCAUGCAGUUGUAAAUUAAUGAAAAGAUAUACAACAUAGAAAAAUGAACAUUUAAAACCAUAAUAUGUAUUUUGUAGAUGAAUUUUGUUGUAUCAACAGUUAUUAACAACUGCAUAUGUAUUUGGCUGCUCUGUAAAAAUGUAAUCUGCGUAUGUAUUUUUAUUUCAUAAAUAUUUUUUUUUUCAAAAAUUCUGGUGUGCUUACAACAUAUCAUGGAAUAUGAAAUUUAUCUUUUUUUAUUUUUUUAUUUUUAUGUCAAGUUGUAUCAGCCACAGAAUAUGUGUAUACGGUACACGACAAACAAAAGCACUUCAUUGUUUGCAUCAAGGAAAAAAAGUGCUUAUGUAAUGCUUUUCAAAUAGAUGAGAUACCAUGUGCACAUGCUUGUACGGUGUUGGAGACAAAAAAAUUUGAGACGGGCCAUACCGUUUUGAUUUGUUUAAACGAAAAACAGUUUGAAGACAUAUGAUAUUCCAAUCUACCCGUUGCCACACAACAAUGACUGGAUAAUUCUAGAGAGCAUACUUGAUGAAAUAGUAUUACCUCCAAAAUUCAAAAGACCUCCAGGAAGACCUGCAAAGAAGGAUCGUGGAAAAUCAUGCUGAGAUAUGUUUGGAAAGAAGAAUAUCAACUCAUGCGGUGGUUGUGGGGCUAAGGGUCACAAUAGGCGUUCUUGUUGGAAAUAUCGUAAAUGAUACAUUUCUUCUUCUGUAUUAUUUCUUAAAACUUUUUUUUAUAAUGAUGAACUAAUUCAGUUUAGUUAAUGCAUUUAUGAAUCAUUUGACAAUUGAAGACAGUAAUAUCUGAAUAAUGGAGCUAUAUAUGUUUCAAAAUCUAUACAUUACACAUGUAUUUUCAAGCAGCAGUUCAUACGUAUUUUUAACUAGUAAAUAUAUUUUAGGUUAAAGGUGGUAACUUUGAUUAACCAAACAAGUAUAUGAUUUUGUUCAAAGAUUUAAAUAUAUGUGACAUAUUCUGCAAAUAUAUGUUUGAAUUGCAUAAUGUUAUUACUGCAUAUGUACUUAUAUUGUAAAAAUACAUUUGAUGUAUAAUCCAUAUGUAUUUUUAAUAAAAAUAUCAUCACUGCAUAUGUAUUUUGUAACUAAAAUCAAAUCUAUAACUGCAUUAAAAAGAUAAAUUUAUCUCUAAUUCAAAUUCUCUUGUAUAAUGAUUUAAAAUGAACACAUAUUAAAAUUAUAUAUUAGGUUUGAUCUAUAUGUAUUUUCCAACAGCUUUAUAUUAACACGGCAUAUGUAUUUUUUUGGAAAAUAUUUUUAAUGUAUAAUCCAUAUGUAUUUUGUAGUAAUAUAUCAACACUGCAUAUAGAUUUUGUAAAUAACUGCAAUAAAAUCUCAAAUUUCACUUUAAUUUAAAUCCUAAUUUAUAAUUAUAGGAAAUGAAAAUAUCCUAAAAAUGCAUAUUAGGUAUGUUGCAGUUGUCUUUUUGUAAUGUUUGAUUCUAACAUUUCAUAUGUAUUUUUAUGCUGAAAAACAAUUAAUUUAUACAACAUAUGUAUUUUUAAGCAUAAUAUGAAAACUACAUAUGCAUUUUUUUUAACUAAAUCUCACAUUAAAAGGUAGGACUCCAUAAAUCUCAUAAUACAUGUUAUAUUUAACAAUAUAGGAAGGUGGUGAAAAACUUUAAAGAACAACAACAACAUACUAAAAUACAUAUUAGGAAUGUUCCAUAUGUAUUUUUGCAAUAUUUGAUUUUAACACCUCAUAUGUAUUUUUAGGCUAAAUACAAUUGAUUGAUAUGAUAAAUGUAUUUUAAAAUAUAAUAUAAAAACUACGUAAGUAUUUUUUAACAAAAUCUCACAGUAAAAGGUAGAAAUCCAUGAAAUAGAACCAAUUCAAAACAUAAAAAUUAGUCUGUACAAUCAAAACCUACAUCCAUAAACUGGUUUCUAAAAUACAUAAAGUCAAAAAUCCAUCAACCAUCAUCAACAAUUUCAGUGAUACUAGUUAUUCUACUUUGCCUUGCAGGCCUCAAGGGUGCUUCGACAUCACUAAUGGCAUUUGCUUCUUAUUUUUGGAUCCCAUAGUCCCACAAAAGUGCAGCAUAUCUUGUACGAAGUGCUUUGGGGUCGAACUCAGUCGCAAUAACUUUGUGACCAUAAGAAAGACACUUUGCAUACAUAACCAUAAAGACACCACAAUCCCUAAAAAAAAAAAAAAAAGAAAAUAAAUUUGAUUAAAUAGUGAAAUAUAUUUUGUACGAACAUACAAUUUUGGUAUAUGAAAAUUCAAAACUUACAAGCUUCCACACGGUUGUUGAGGCAAAUCAUCUUCAAAUAAAACAUCAGACAUAUCUGACGAUUCUUUGUCUUUGUAUCUUGGAUGAUUUUGAAGAUCAAUUCCUUUCUUAACAUAGAAAUUACAAGCUUGGAGACACAAUGAAAUAAUCUUUGCUAUUUUCUCGAUCUCAACAAGAACAGCCGCAUAAUGACCACUGGAUUCAUAUGAAUCAUACAAAAAUAUACACCUCUCUAAAAUGAUAAAACCGCGAGAACCCAGUGAUAUUUUUCUUUAUAUUGACCGAAAUAAAAAUGUCUUCCACUGUAUGUCAUGGCACUGUAGCAUGCAUAUGGAACCCAUUGAUGUAUUCAAUAAGAUGGUGCUCUUGUCCUCCUGUAUUAAGAUUUUGAUGAUCCAUAGAAUAUACAUCAUUCAAAUAUCUAAUUAUGUUCAUAAAGUUGCAGUCAACUAUACUGUAUUUGUACUAUUCGUUUGGCUCAUUUUUGUGCGAAUUGUGUCGCCUAUACUUUGACUUCUUCCUCAAGUAGUAUAAGCAGACAUCAAUAUGUUGCAUUAGUGAAUACCACAAAAUUUAGAGCAUUCAAAAAAAUUGUAUACUAAAUAUUAAAGGGUAUGCAAGUAAAAAAUACAUAUGUUUUUUUUUAUAUUAAUGUAGAAGACUUGUGUAUCUAAAAUUGCAUUCUUAAAGUUCAGUUACAUACAGACAAUGUUAUCUAAUAGUAUAUGCAACAGUAUGUGAUGUGGUAUACUAUAUCAUACUUUGAAUACUUAAAAAUACAUAUAUGUUAAACCAUAUGUAUUUCAAUGUAACCUAAUAUGUAUUUUUAAGUAUUGUUACAGACGAAAUGAAAAAUAUUUUAAAAUAAUAUACUAACCGAGUCUGUUCAUGUCUGAUCUGCAAACCCCAUAGCAUAGAAUCAAUUUUUUUCUUCAACAGUCUCAACACCAAAAUGCAUCUUUGGAAUUUCUGAUUUUCCCCUCUUGUAAUGAUCUACUUUUCCUUUCCUAGGUAUUUUAAGGAGAUGGUAAACCAUGAAAACAUAAUUGAUGCAAAAAAAUAAUUUGAAGCAAUUCAAAAGAACUACCUCUUGGCAAUAGCUUUUAAUAGGUCGGCAGAAAUCCAGUCCUUGAAGUUCUUGACAAUCUUCGUAUCUAUUAUCCCAUCAAUCGGGUGAUAUAAAAAUGGAUGUUUCUAGAGGAAUAUGUGUAUUAUCCCUGCUGAGCUCCCUAUAUAAUUAUAGAAUAAAAUAACUUAAUAAAUACAAACGUAUUUGCAAGACAUAUUUCGUAAAAAAUUAUGUAUAUUUUAUUGUACUUACCAGCUACUGAAUCAAAUUUUUUGGUGUAUGGCGAUUCCUUGAAUUUUGAUGGUCGCUUAAUCCUUAACUUUGGUCUGGGAGUUUUAACUUCACGAUUAGCGGAUGGAUUAAUCAUGAUGCUUUUUUUAUCGUAGACAUUCAAGUUUCGUAGAAACUCAUCCGAAAUUGUGUUUUGUGAAUUAGGCCAUAAUUGUUCAUCCCUCUGUUCAUCGUUGGUUACUUUUUGUGUAUUAGGAGGUGUCCUUAAUUUCUCCUCUGUAGCAAGUUCGACUUCUGAAUUCACCAGUGAAUUUGAACUCAAAUCAGUGAUCCCUCUGUUCAUCUAACAAAAAAAUUAAAAAAAUAAUAUUGCUUUUUGUCUAUCAAAUUGAACCUAAAUAAACUCAAAAUAUAUUGUAGUAAGAUACACACUUGAGCAUGAUCUUCAAUAGCAGUCUCAGAAGUUUUUGCAUCCAAAAUUUUAUGAUGAGAUUUUUCUUGACGGUUUGCCGAUGGAUGUAUGAUAAUGCUUUAUAUUUGAUAGGCAUUUAGGCUCGGUAACAUCUCAUCAGGGAUUGUGAAUUGCGAAUCAGACAAUUAUUUCAUCAAUUUUAUCAUCGUUGGUCUGCAUAAAAAUAAAAGAAAAAAUUUAAUUGUCCUCUGGAUUAUGACAUGAUAUGAAGACAACGUUAACAUCACUAUACAUACUCGACAAUCAUAUUGAACAACCUUCUCAGAAUGUAAGUAAUUCAAAUUUAUACUUCGGAGAAGCUCAUCAGGAAUUAAUUGUUGAGAAUCAAUUUCAACAUUCAUUUUAUCGGAAUGCAAACCAGUGCACCCCUUGAAAACAAGUUAAAAAAUCAAAACAUCAAACAAACAUGUACUUGUAUCUGUUUAUAUAUAUGAAUUCAAAUGAAUAUAUAUAUAUAUGAAACUUAAUUAUUUACCUUUUUACCAAGCAAAUUUACCUCCAAUUCCUGAUCAACAUUCGAAGUUAAUCGUUGUGGUGAUCUUUCGGUACCAACAUAAUCCAUAUGCAAAUACAUAUACAAAUUCAAAUAGCCUAUUAAUACUUGAGUCAAAUUUAAUAUGAUUUUUUUAUGAAAUUAAAUAUACAUAUAUACAAACACACUAAAAAUACAUAUUUAUAUAUAACAUCAAACUCAAAAGUACAUAUUAAAGAACAUAACAAAAUAAUCACUCAGUGUUAAAUACAUAUGCAGUGUUAAAAAAUACAUAUGAAUAAAAUUAAAAAUACAUAUGCAGUGUAUUGAAUACAUUAAAAAUACAUAUUGAUAUAUAACAUCAAACUCAAAAAUACAUAUUUAUGAACAAUACUAAAAACAAACUGUGUUGCAUGUUAUAAUAUUUUUAAUCAACCAAAUAAUAUAUAUUGUUAUGUGAGCAUCCUCAAAAAUAUAUAUAUAUACACUACAUGUGAUGUAAAAAAUAAUUGUAUUUAAUGAACAAUGCAUAUGUAUUUAAUAAGUCAACAACACAUAAAAAAAAAAAACUUGCAUAUCAUACUAAAGUCAAUCUUCAAUUCUAUUCCAAAUUUGACAGUUCUAUUAACCUCAAGUGUAUCAUGGAUAUAAAAUUUAGAAGUUCAAGUAAAUAUGUAUUUGGAGCUUUAAUAUUUACCUUUGUACCAUCAGAAAUAUUAUCCGAAGAUUGAACAUCAUGACUGAAAUGUUGUCCAGAUUGCUCAAACCCUCCCUCAUUAACAUUUGGUUUAUCAGCUUCUAUAUCUACAACCUGCUCCUGAAAAAAUUAUGUCCAAUAACAUAACGAGUUAUUUUACAAAUAUGUUGUAUUUGUAUAAGGCAGUCCAAUAAGUAUACAUAUUCAAAUCAACUAAGAGUUUCAAAGAAAAAAUUUACCUUGCUUUGAGCAAAUGCUUUCUUCAUCUUUUUGAGUUUUUUUUCUCAUUAGUCCACGAAUUCCUUUAAACUCGCAACGAAUCUGUUUUGAUACAAAAUCUAUAAACAAAAUUUUAACUCAUGCUUCUUUCUCAACAUGACUCUCAGGCUUUGACACGACUACUUUCUCUACAUGAAUAUCUAGUUUUGACUGAACCUGAGGAAAAAUAACAUGAGUUGUUUGCUUUCUUUACUUCAUUUUUGAAGAAAAUACCUGUCGUGUUGGAAUUGGCUUGAAAACUGGUGUCUUCAUUACAUCAGCCUUUGCAGCACGAGGAGCUAGUGUCCUCGUUUGGGUAUUGUAAGACCCAUAAAAUCCUAAGUCUAGAAUUCAGCUCAUUUGGCUAUACAAGCUUCAAGACUUAGAAAAUUUUACAAGUGUUCAACACUUAGUCUCAUUUUAGACCUCUAAACUUUGGAGAUUUAUUUGACGACCUUUCCGACCUUCGUUUUUAGAUUUUCAAGUUGCGUUGCGAUGGGAAAAGAUCGUAGUACAUUCCGGAUAAGUUUUGGAAUUUUUUGGAUAGUGUAAGGGCGCCCGCCAACUCCGGUGGUACCCAGGUUUUUCAGCAUUCCACCUCCGUAUUUUUAAGGGCAUUUUGGUCCUUUUACACCCAUAUAUAAGCUUCUUAACAUGAGAUUUAGCCUCUAAAACACCAAAAUAUAGUGCUAGUGCUGAAAUUCUCUCAAGAACAACUAAGAACAAGUCUAGGGUUCAAUUGGGAGUUUCAACUUUCAAGCAAAUUCAACCGUAAAUUCCAUGAAUUCUUAAUCUAAGGUAUGCGUAAUGUUCAUCCAUGGAUUCCUUUUGUCCGUGGAGUUCAAGAAUCAAUCUUUAAAUACUAAAUUAUGAUUGUUUCGUGGUGAUACAAUUUUAUACAUGUUGGUGGUUGUUAUUUGUGUUGUAAAAUUGUAUUUUGAUGUAUUUUGAUGGAGAUUAUGAUCGUAUUAGUUGGAACCCAUGAAUUUGAGUGGUUUAAUAUGGUGAAACUUAUGAAUAUACCUAUGCCUUAAAGAGUGCAUGCAAGAUGUUUGAUAAAAUGCUUAGGAUGCUAGAAAUUCAUGUUUUCAUGAUCCCAAAGCAUCUAAAUGACAAGUCAAUGUUAACUACUAUAACUCAAUAUGAAUUCCAUGCUAGCAUAGUGUUGCUAUUGUUGUGGUAUGAAGCAUUCAUGAUAAUGGAGUUAUACAAUAUGUACAUGAUAUAUAUAUAUAUAUAUAUAUCCAUGCACUCCCUACUAUGCACAAGAUGUUGAGAAACUACAUGUGAUAUACAAUCUCCUACUUAUGAUAUUGUGAAUUGUGGACUCUACUCUUAUGAUCAAGUCAGUUAUGUGUGUCAGUUUCCUUCCAUCGAGUCCUGGGGAUACUUGUACCCGAAAAUUAUAGGUGUGUGUCUAGAGCCAUGUCAUGUUAUCAUAAAAAUCUCAGUCAAGCCAUGGUCUAUAGAACUCAGCCAGUCAUAUGACUCAGGAAAUCUCAAAAAUCUCAGGAUCUCGGUUAAUGCUUAGAUAGUAGUACCAUUCUGUCAGUCAACAGAAGUCAGUUACUCAGUCCAUGUAUAGUCAGUUAAAUCAUGUUCAGACUCUUUAGAUGGGAGUAGAAGUUAGCACCGAGUGAACCCAAGGAUGGAAACUCACCUGCCAGUUUAGGGUGUGAUUCUUAGCAGUCAUCCUUGCGUUCCAGAACUAUGUAGCCAGCAUAGGUUGAGACAUCAACACUGUCAGAUGAGGUUUGAUAAGGUGGCUUAGCACUGCUAGAUGAGGGCCCCACCGCUCUCUUUUGGGAACACUAUCAGAUGAGGGUUACCCACAGCCUGUCUUUACCAGUGGCACGGUAUUGACACCCUUCCAGUCAGGGUAGAGAUUGAACCCCAUCUUAGUUAUAAUGGCGUAUAUGGGUCAUGUCGAUUAAACAACUACCUUUCACAAUUUCAGACUCAGUCUCAGUAAAAGAACUCAGAUAAUUCUUCAAAUAUCAGUAUACCAGGACUGUCAGAUCAGUCAAAUUCAGUUAUGGUACGGAACUCAGAUAGUUUCCUCAGAUUCAGGACUGUCAGGCACAGUGGCCCAUGUCAUAAGAACUACAGUAUCAGUCAUGUUAGUUAUCAGUAAAUCAUGUAUUAGCGUACAGAUUCAACUAUCAUGUAUUUAUGAUUCUACUUACUAUGUAUGCAUGUUUGCACUCUCACGUUCAUAUCAGUUAGUCAGUUAGCAUUGUUCAUGCAUGUAAACCCUUUUGCAUUAGCCUACCUCACUUGUAUACUCAGUACUUUCAGUUGUACCGACGUAUUUACGCUAUGGUGCUUUCUUUCAUGUUACACCAUAAGUUUAGAAACGUGAGUUCCAGAUCAGUAAUAGCAUUCCAGUCGAAGAGUUGCAGUGAGUCCUCAUCCAUUCGAGGAUGAUAUUAUUUUAUUUCACUCAUUAUUUCAGCCCAAUUUUGCAAGACGGAGUUAGUUGGAGACAUGUUUCUUCAACUCCUUAUUCAGACAAUAUUAAAGACUUUCAGAUUUAGUUCAAAUUUAUUUCAGACUUCAGUUGUUUUGGAUAUUUGUCACCCAUACGGAUGUCAUGUUUUAUUCAAUUCUUUAUUCAUUGAAACCUUAUGGCCUACUGUUCAUGUUUUCUGCAUUUUACAUCUAUAUUAUGUAGUGUACAGGUACAGAUAUCAGUCAUGGAUUAGUGUGUGGUCCUUCGGGGUCAUAAGAACCGUGUGGCAUUCUGGUUCAGAAAAUCAGGGUGUUACAAACUUGGUUUCAGAGCCUAAGGUUUAAUAGAGUCCAAGUCUGAAAGCCGCAUCUCGUAGAGUCUUGUACAUGGUUGUGUUGCGUGCCACAUUUAUGUACAGGAGGUUAUAAGAUGUUUUAGGAACAGUUUUCCUUCUUUCAGUAUUUAUGUCGUGCUAGUGAGCAUAAUCUCAAGUUAAACUCUCAGUCUACUCCGUUCUUCUCUUAUUUCAGAAUAUGGCUCCAAAGAGAAGAAACUAGCCAGCUCCUCAGUCCGAAGAUCCUUUGGGAGAAUAUGUUUCACAUGUGGAGUUUAGGUCCAUAUUUACCAUACUUGCUCAGUCUGUGGCUGCCCAAAAUGAACAGCCACCAGUUGGUCCAGCCAAUCCAGCGGUCAACUCAACCGCAGCUAGGAUUUGGGACUUCACCCGAAUAAACCCUCCAUCUUUCUUCGGGUCUAAGUCUGAUGAAGACCUCAGGAGUUCAUUGACCAAGUCCAGAAGGUCAUAUACAUCAUGGGAGUUACUUCUAUUGAGAGUGCUGAGUUGGCCGCAUACCAGUUGCAAGAUGUGGCUCAUACUUGGUACAAGUAGUGAAAGUCUGAGAGGUUAGAGGAUGCAGGUCCUAUAGAGUAGGAGGAAUUUGUCACAACUUUCUUAGACAGAUUCUUUCCCCAAGAUCUGAGGGAGGCAAAAGUUCUUGAGUUCAUCAACCUCAGGCAGGGAAAUAUGACGGUUAAGGAGUAUUCUCUCCGAUUUGCUCAGUUAUCUAGAUAUGCCCCUCAUGUGGUUGCAGACAACAGGGCUAAGAUGAGCAAGUUUCUAUCAGCGGUGACUGAUAGCGUGGUAAAUGAGUAUAGGUCUGCGAUGCUGAAUAGAUGAUGACUUUAGCCAGGCUCAUGACCCAUGCUCAGCAAAUAGAGGAGCAGAAGGUUAGGUUUAGGGAGAGGCAGAACAAGAGAGCAAAGACAAGACAUUUUAGUUUUACUCUACCCAAAUUAGAGGGAGGAAAUCGUUCGCAGUUUCAUCCUAAGUCAGCAGUCCAGUCCCUUCCUCCCCCAGUGCCCGAGUGCCAAAAUUUAGAUACGGCAACAGAGAUAGAGCACCAGGCUCAAAGUCUCAGGGCAGUGUUAGCAGUGCCCAAACUAAUCCCCUAUGUCAGACUUGUGGUAAGAACCACAAGGGUGUUUGCAAAGCUUGUAGUGAUGUUUGUUUCGGUUGUGUCAAGCCAAGCCAUAGAGUUAGAGAUUGUCCUCAGUCCGAUUAUCAGGGUCAGCAAAAUCGUUCCACAGCUCAGUCUGGUUGCCCGAACCAGCAGGAUGCCACUUCCAGUACUACUAGUGGGCAAUGCCGAAACAGAUUCUAUGCUCUUCAGACCCAACAGGAUCAGGAAAAUUCUCCUGAUGUCAUUAAUGGUACAUUACAUAUUUUCCAUGUUCAUGUUUAUGCUUUGCAAGAUCCAGGUGCAUCCUUGUCUUUUGUUACUCCCUUCAUAGUAGACGAUUUCGAAAUCAGUGUCGAAAUUUUAGUAGAGCCAUUUUCAGUUUCUACCCUAGUAGCUAAAACUAUCAUAGAUCGGCGGGUAUACAGGAACUGCUCAGUUAUGAUAUUUCAGAAAUCCACGUCAGUAGAUUUAGUCGAGUUAGAGAUAACUAAUUUUGAUGUCAUUCUCGGCAUGGAUUGGCUUCAUUCCUACUAUGCCACAGUCGACUGCAGAAAUAGGACAGUUCAGUUUUAGUUUUCGAAUAAGCCCAUCAUAGAGUAGAAUGGUAGUACUUUAUCUUUCAGGGGUCAGCUUAUUUCCUACCUUCGGGCAAGAAAAAUAAUUUCUAAGGGGUGUACGUAUCAUCUCGUGCAUAUUAAAGAUUCCAAUUCUAAAUCUCCUAGCUUUGAAUCAGUUCCAGUUGUUAGUGAAUAUUCAGAUGUCUUUUUUGAAGAUCUUCUAGGCAUUCCUCUCAAAAGGUAAAUAGACUUCGGUAUAGACCUUCUCCUAGAUACUCAGCCUAUUUUUGUUCCGUCAUACAGAAUGGCACCAGCAGAACUUAAGGAACUGAAAGAUCAGUUGAAGGAUCUCUUAGAUAAGAGAUUCAUCAGGCCUAGUGUAUCCCCAUAGGGUGAACAAGUCUUAUUCGUGCACAAGAAAGACGGUUCCCUCAGGAUGUGUAUUAAUUAUCGUCAGCUCAACAAAUUCACGGUUAAGAACAAGUAUCCACUUCCUAGAAUAGAUGACUUGUUUGACCAACUUCAAGGUGCCAGUUAUUUCUCCAAGAUAGACCUCAGAUCAGGCGAUCAUCAGCUCAGAGUUAGAGAAUGUGACAUCCCGAAGACAGCUUUUCGUACUUGGUAUGGUCACUUCAAAUUGCUAGCCAUGUCCUUUGGUCUAACCAAUGCCCCUACAACUUUUAUGGACCUGAUGAACCAGGUAUUCAAGCAGUACUUGGACAUGUUCAUCAUAGUCUCCAUAGAUGAUAUUCUGGUCUAUUCUCGCACAAAGUGUGAUCAUUCAGACCAUCUAAAAAUUGUUCUUCAGACGCUUAGAGAUCAUCAGUUGUUUACUAAGUUUAGUAAGUGCAAAUUUUGGCUAAGAUCAUUAGCAUUCCUUGGCCAUAUUAUUUCUGGUGAUGGCAUUAGAGUAGAUCCUAAGAAGACCGAAGAGGUAAGAAACUUCCCUCGCCCUGUCUCUCCAUCAGAUAUCAAGAUUUUAUUGGGUUUGGCUGGCUAUUACAGGAGGUUUGUCGAGGGAUUAUCUAUACGGAGUUCAUAUAGAUGUUUUCACAGAUCAUAAGAGUCUCCAGUAUGUCUUUUCUCAGAAAAAUCUUAAUCUUCUUCAGAGAAGGUGGUUAGAGCUCUUGAAGGAAUAUGACAUGAGUGUCUUUUAUCAUCUGGGUAAGGCCAAUGUUGUGGCCGACACUCUCAGUAGACUCUUCAUGGGUAGUGUUUUUCACGUAAAGGAUAGUAAGAAGAAGGUAGCCCAUGAAAUCCACCAGCUUUCCAGACUAGGCGUUUGCUUAAUCGACUCUUCAGAGAGUGGUUUAUGUGUUCAGAGUAGUUCAGAGUCAUCUCUAGUUUCUGAGGUGAAAUAAAAUCAAGACAGGGAUCCUAGCCUUGUCAAGCUAAAAGAGUCAGUUCAGAAUCAUAAAGUAGAGGUUUUCUCUCAAGGGGGAGAUGGUGUUCUUCGUUGUUAGGGUCAUCUGUGUGUUCCAAGUGAAGAUGACUUGAGGUAGCGAAUUCUUGUAGAGGCGCAUGGUGCGCGAUACUCUAUUCAUCCAGGGGCCACUAAGAUGUACCGCGACUUGCGGGAGAUCUAUUGGUGAAGUGGGAUAAAGAGAGAUAUUGCAGAGUUUGUGGCUAAAUGCUCUACAUGUCAGCAGGUUAAGAUAGAGCAUCAAAAAUCUAGUGGUCCCAUGCAGGAGUUCACCAUUCUUUCUUGGAAGUGAGAAGAAGUGAACAUGAACUUUUUGAUAGGUUUGCCUCGCACUCAUCGUCAGCGUGAUUUAGUUUGGGUCAUCAUAGACAAGAUGACCAAAUCAGCCCAUUUCCUUCCAGUUCAUACCUCUUACUCGGCUGAGGAUUACUCUAAACUCUACAUCAAGGAGUUGGUCAGAUUUCACAGUACUCCACUGUCCAUCAUCUCAGACAAAGGUACCCAGUUUACCUCUCAUUUUUGGAAAGCAUUCCAAAAGAGUCUCGGUACCCAAGUUCAUCUUAGUACAGCCUUUCAUCGUCAGAUAGAUGGUCAAGUAGAGAGGAUCAUUUAGACUCUUGAAGAUAUGCUAAGGGCAUGUGUAGUUGAUUUCAAGGGAAGUUGAGAUGACCACUUACCUUUGAUUGAGUUUGCAUACAAUAAUAGCUAUAAUUUCAAUAUUCAGAUGGCUCCAUUAGAAGAUCUUUAUGGUAGGAGGUGUAGAUCUCCAAUCGGUUGGUUUGAAGUUAGUGAGGCCUCAGUCAUAGGUCCUGACUUAGUAUUUCGACACUUUAGAGAAAGUUCAGUUGAUCGAAGAGAGACUCUGGGUUGCUCAGAGCUGAUAGAAGUCUUAUACAGAUGUUCAUAGAAAGGAUCUCGAGUUCAAGGUUAAUGACUAUGUCUAUAUGAAGAUCUCUCCCAUGAAGGGAGUAAAGAAGUUCGGAAAGAAAGGAAAUUCAAGUCCCUGAUAUUUUGGUCCCUUCAAGAUUCUCAGUCGCUUCGGCAAGGUAGCUUAUGAGCUCGAAUUGACUUCAGAUCUAGCUUUAGUUCAUCCAGUCUUCCAUGUCUCAUUGCUCAAGAAGUACAUAGGUGACCCAGUAGUUGUAGUCCCUAUUUAGAGCAUUGAUGUUCAGGACAGCCUCUCUUAUGAAGAAAUUCUAAUCGAAAUCUUAGACUAUCAGACUCGUGAUUGAGGAACAAAAAAGUCCCUCUAGUCAAAGUUCUUUGGCAAAAUCAGUCCGUGAGGGAGCUACUUGGAAAGCAGAAGCAUAUAUGCAUACCAAGUAUCCUCACCUCUUCUCCGCCAAUUCAGAUCAAGUUCAAGGUAAUAGUUCUUCUUAAGAUUAUUCAGUUUCAUGCUCAUAUUCCCAGCAUAAACUUGGUAUCUACUACCACUGCAUACUCAGUCAUGCAUUCAUGUAUCAGUCCAGUUAUAAAAUCAUACAUCAUCCAUGCAUUCUCAUCUUGAGAAACUCAAUUUAUCAGAACACACAGUCACGCAUUCAUCUAUCAAUUAUCCAUGCAUCAGAUAUGUAUGAGUUCAGUAUAUUUAGCAUGUCAGUCAUGAAGUCAUGUCUCAGUCAUUCAUGUUCAAGUUCAUGUUCAGCUUGUCUUUUAUCCCCUCUUAGUUGAUUCUCAUUCGAGGAUGAAUAUUCCCAAGGGGGAGAUAUUGUAAGACCCCAUAAAAUUCUAGUCUAGAAUUCAGCUCAUUUAGCUCUACAAGCCUCAAGACGUAGAAAAUUUUACACGUGUUCAACACUUAGUCUCAUUUUAGACCUUCAAACUUUGGGGAUUUAUUUGACGACCUUUCCGACCUUCGUUUUUGAAUUUUCUGGUUGCGUUGUGAUGGAGCAAGGUCGUAGUACAUCCCGGAUAAGUUUUAGAAUUUUUUGGAUAGCCUAACGGCACGUUUGGAUACCCAAAACAGUAGCUCAGGGCGAUAAGCCUGCGUUACCCUAGCUAGAGCACUGCUCUAAGCCAGGCGACGCCCGCCAACUCCGGUGGUGCCCAGGUUUUUCAGCAUUCCACCUUCAUGUUUUUAAGGGCAUUUUGGUCCUUUUCCACCCAUAUAUAAGCUUCUUAACAUGGGAUUUAGCCUCUAAAACACCAAAAUAUAGUGUUUUUGCUGAAAUUAUCUCAAUAACAACCAAGAACAAGUCUAGGAUUCAAUUGGGGGUUUCAACUUUCAAGCAAAUUCAACCGUAAAUUCCACGAAUUCUUAAUCUAAGGUAUGUGUAGUGUUCAUCCACGGAUUUCUUUCGUCCGUGGAGUUCAAGAAUCAAUCUUUAAAUACUAAAUUACGAUUGUUUCAUGGUGAUAUGAUUUUAUACAUGUUGGUGGUUGUUAUUUGUGUUGUAAAAUAGUAUUUUGAUGUAUUUUCAUGGAGAUUAUGAUCGUGUUAGUUGGAACCCAUGAAUUUGAGUGGUUUAAUAUGGUGAAACUUAUGAAUAUACCUAUGCCUUAAAGAGUGCAUGCAAGGUGUUUGAUAAAAUGCUUAGGAUGCUAGAAAUUCACAUUUCCAUGGUCCCAAAGCAUCUAAAUGACAAGUCAAUGUUAACUACUAUAAUUCAAUAUGAAUUCCAUGCUAGCGUAGUGUUGCUAUUGUUGUGGUAUGAAGCAUUCAUGAUAAUGGAGUUAUACAAUAUGUACAUGAUAUAUAUAUAUAUAUAUAUAUAUAUAUAUAUAUAUAUAUAUAUAUAUAUAUAUAUCCAUGCACUCCCUACCAUGCACAAGAUGCUGAGAAACUACGUGUGAUAUACAAUUCCCUACUUAUGAUAUUGUGAAUUGUGGACUCUACUCUUAUGAUCAAGUCAGUUAUAUGUGUCAGUUUCCUUCCAUCGAGUCCUGGGGGUACUUGUACCCGAAAAUUAUAGCUAUGUGCCUAGAUCCAUGUCAUGUUAUCACAAAAAUCUCAGUCAAGCCAUGAUCUAUAGAACUCAGUUAGUUAUGUGACUCAGGAAAUCUCACAAAUCUCAUGAUCUCGAUUAAUGCUCAGAUAGUAGUACUAUUCCAUCAGUCAACGGAAGUCAGUUACUCAGUCCAUGUAUAGUCAGUUAAAUCAUGUUCAGUUUCUUCAAAUGGGAGUAGAAGUUAGCACCAAGUGAACCCAAGGAUGGGAACUCACUUGCCAGUUUAGGGUGUGCUUCUUAGCAGUCAUCCUUGCGUUCCGGAACUAUGUAGACAACAUAGGUUGAGACAUCAACACUGUUAGAUGAGGUUUGAUAAGGUGGCUUAGCACUGUCAGAUGAGGGCCCCACCACUCUUUUUUAGGAACACUGUCAGAUGAGGGUUACCCAUAGUCUGUCUUUACCAGUGGCGCGGUAUUAACACCCUUUCAGUCAGGGCAGAGAUUGGACCCCAGCUUAGCUAUAAUGGUGUAUAUGGGGUAUAUCGGUUAAACAAGAUUAAACAACUACCUCCCACAGUUUCAGACUCAGUCUCAGUAAAAGAACUCAAAUAGUUCUUCAGAUAUCAGUAUACCAGGACUAUCAGAUACAGUCAAAUUCAGUCAUGGUAUGAAACUCAGAUAGUUCCCUCAGAUUCAAGACUGUCAGGCACAGUCGCCCAUGUCAUCAGAACUACAGUAUCAAUCAUGUUAGUUAUCAGUAAACCAUGUAUUAGCGUAUAGAUUCAACUAUCACGUAUUCAUGAUUCCAAUUACUAUCUAUGCGUGUUUACACUCUCAUGUUUAUAUCAGUCAGUCAGUUAGCAUUGUCCAUGCAUGUAAACCCUUUUGCAUUAGCCUACCUCACUCGUAUACUCAGUAAUUUCAGUUGUACUGAUGCAUUUGCGCUAUGGUGCUUUCUUUCAUAUUACACCAUAAGUUCAGAGACACGAGUUCCAGAUUAGCAGUGGCAUUCCAGUCGCAGAGUUGCAGUGAGUCCUCAUUCAUUCGAGGACGAUAUCAUUUUAUUUCAUUCAUUAUUUCAGCCCAGUUUUGCUAGACGGAGUUAGUUGGAGACAUGUUCCUUCAACUCCUUAUUCAAACAGUAUUUAAAGGCUUUCAGAUUUAUUUUAGACUUCAGUUGUUUUGGGUAUUUGUCACCCAUAUGGAUGACAUAUUUUAUCAGAUUCUUUAUUUAGUUGAACCUUAUGGCCUAUUGUUCAUGUUUUUCGCAUUUUACAUGUAUAUUAUACAGUGUACAGGUACAGAUAUCAGUCAUAGGUUAGCUUGUGGUUCUUCGGGGUCAUAAGCACCGUGUAGCAUUUCGGUUCAGAAAAUCGGUGCGUUACAGGUAUGCUCAUAAAAAAUAUUUACUUAUUUUUUCUUAAAGGUUUCUUUUCUACUGGUGUUGAUAAAUCAACCUUCUGUUUCCUCUUUGAAUGUUCAUUGAUUUUUCUUGGUGGUGGAUCCUGAAAGUCAUUAUCAGAAUCAACAGAACGUUCAUGUUGUAUUGAAUCCUUCAUUGGUAUUUGCAAUUUUGACAGCUCCUUUUUCGUUGGCUCUAUGUUCUUAAAGACAACCUAGAAAAUAAUAGGUAAAUAAUAUAUGUUAAAAAAUUAGUUAAACAAUUGCAAAUAAAAAUGUAUAUAUGUAUACGGUAAAAUACAUACUAAUACAUAUGUAUUUAGUAACAACAAACCUUGCCAUUGUCAUUGAACAUAACAUUCAUCAAAAACUCAAAGCGUGGCCGAGGUGCAAUCGUCUUCCAAUUUAAUAAUUGGGGAAUCCGAUUAUCAACCUUCGAUGCAAUCUUUGGUGGGACAUUUGAACAACACUCAUAAAUCCACACUUGAAUAGCAAGUGGCAUUCCCUAAAUCAAAUAAAAUUGACCACCAACUUUAAACCGAUCUUCAAAAGAUAAAGCACCCUAUGAAAAAUCUUUAUAUCUUUCACUAUCGACCAAAUCGAAAUGAAGACGGGGUGUUACCACAGUUUCAACAUUAGAUAAGACAAAUGAAUGCAGGAAAUACAGAAUUGCAAAUUUCUUAGCAUUCUCAUCAUUGUUCUCCCCCCAUACUCUCUCCGUGAAUGCUAGAAAUAGUUGCCUUUUCUGUAUAAUUUCUGUUCCAUUGAAAUACUUCUCAACCAUCCUAUUUGGUACACCCUCGUCAAAAAUAAAGUCAUACAUAUUUGACACACAAUUCAAUCCAGUUAUGAUAGCAAAUUCUCUGGGAGUAAAAUUAAGAAAGGUUCCAUUAGCACAAAUCAGAAUCCUACAAGAAGAACUACCUUUACCUUAAGCGUCAUAACGCAUUUGCACAACUGUGCUUGCACUAUACAUUGUUGCUUCUUCAAUAAAUAACCAAAUAUGUUAUUAUUGCAAAAAAUUUUAAACUGUUCCUUGUUUAAAAUUGUGCGUAUGCUUUCAUAAAUAUUUUUGUCACUGUACGAACACAUGUGCGGUGCAAAUCUUGAAAGUUUUCUGACAAUGAAUAUUUCAUCACGCAUCACCUAUACAAUGAAUCAUAUAACAUGCAGCCAAAAAAUCAAGCAGCCAAUAAAAAUUAAAAACUUAUAACAGGUAUAUGUAUUUUUAUCAUAUCAAAACUGAAACCAACACUGAAAAAUACAUAUCAAAUAUACUAAAAAUACAUAUAGCCAAUAGACUGUUCUGGUAGUUAAGCUAAAAUUAACAUGCAUAUGUAUUUUGAUCAUAUCAAAGCUGCAACCAACACUGAAAAAUACAUAUCAUAUGUACUAAAAAUACAUAUAUCCAACAGACUGUUGUAGUAUUUCAAGUAAAAUUAACAUGCAUAUGUAUUUUUUACCAUAUCAAAACUGCAACCAACACUGAAAAAUACAAAUCAUUUAUGCUAAAAAAUACAUAUAGCCAAUAUACUCUUCAUGAGUAGUUAAUACAAUAAUAUAUUUUCACAAUUAUACUAUCAUCUUCACAAAUCAGCAUUCUACAAUCCCUAAAUAUCAUCAUAACAUCAAAUACAUAUUAACUACUUUAAAAAAAAUACAUAUAACUUACAACUUUAACAACAUCUUUUCUUGGAGCAAAAUACAUUUUACUCAAAAAAUACAUUUACAACAGAAAAAUACCUCUUCCUCACUAACUUCUUCAGAAUCAUCAUCAAAGGAGAUCUGAACAUCCUCAUCAACCUUACUCAAACCUUCAAUUUCUUUCGCUUUCCUUUUUUUCUCAAUUUUUUUUUAAAAUUCUUCUGAGAAGUCGAUUUCUUCAACGUUUUUUUUUUUCAAAAAAAAAUUCAUCUUCAGCGGAUCGUUGCGAAACUUCGACCUAAUCUCCUUCGGUUUCUCAGAUUUCUUUGACUGUAAAGAAUUUGAAACAACUUUAACUACAUCUUUUUGAGUUAACCCAAGACUAAAAGAUGGUCCACAAUCAUAGACCAAAUUCAAAUUUCGUAUACCACUAUUUGUUCGUGAUUUUGGUGUUUAUUCAGCCAUUAAAAUCAAAAACCUUAAAUUCUGAUUUUGAGAUAUAUUAGAGUAUACUAUUUCUGAAAUUUACCCAAAAAAAUGCUAACAUGCAAUAGCAAAAUUAAGAGUUACCUGAAAUAGAUGAAGAUAAUCUUUACUGAUGGUGCUAAAAUCGUGCAAAGUGAAAAAAAUGGAAGCGGGAAGAUAUACUUUAGGGCGAAAAGAACAGCAAAAAUCUUUCAAAUUAAUGAAAGAGAAAACUUAUGGCGUGAAAAGAGGAAAAACUGACAGUUACUUCUCUAAGUGGGUAAAAAGUAGAGACCACAUAAAAUAAUGCUAGAGAUGUUACAAUAAGUAAUUUAAUAAAACUAUUAUUAUUUUUUGUAAUUUAAUGCUUAAGUUUGAUACUUAAUGUAUUACAUGUAAAAAGUGUAAAUUUGACCUUAAAGUAUGAUAUCAAGAGUAAAUUUGACCCUUAAAUAUGAUGCGGAAUAUAUUUAAUUAAUUUUUCAAAUUAAAAAGAUAAACUUAACCCUUCUCCCUACUUUUUGUAACAAAAGUGUUGGCUCAAAUAUACACCAAUAAAUAAAGCGGCAAUGUGUCACGUCAUGCAUGUCCUUUUAAUAGUCAUUUCAAUCUAUAAACGUACUACUAUGGAAUUUUUAAAUUUUGUAACUUUAGGAUAGUUUGGUAGACUAUAUAAAAAUAAUGUAAAAUAUAGUAUAUUAAUAAUAUUUGUAUUAGUAAUAUUUGUAUUAUUUAUGUUUGUAUUAAUUAUAUAUGUAUUAUUUGUUGUACAUUAUUUGGUGUGAUGUAUAAAAAAUAAUACAUCUUACAUGAUUUCUAUAAAAGAUUUUUUUUUACAAAAAUACCUUUUUUUGUUUUUGUACACUUUUUUGUAACAAAGUUUUUUUUGUUAUUUCAAACAUAAUUACUAUUGUUGAGCUAUUAUAUAGAAGUUUAGGAUUAAUUACAAAACCUUAUCUUUGAGCAAAAAUGUUAUGCUGAUGGACUAAUAUAGUCGAAACAAAAAUAAAAUACAAGACGUAAAUUAAGAAAUAGUCUCAAUUUUUUUUAAAAAUCUUUUUAAAUACUCUCGAAGCAAAGCAAAAAUAUGUUAUAGUUAUAUAAAUCAACCAUUCAUUGUUGUAAAUUCAAAUGGUGGGAAAAGAAAUUGUGAAAUGUUUUGAAAAGAUUCACUAUUGCAAAUUAAAAUACGGGAAAAGAAAUGGUGAAAUAUUUUGAGAGGGAAAUUGACGGGUAUUAAAGCCAUUUAAUAAGUUAAUACAUGUGUUUAAAGUCUUUGUAUUACUAAUACAUAGGAAAUAGAGUGUAUUACUAAUAUACACUUCAAUACACAAUAGAGUGUUAGUUAUACAUAGGCAAAAGUCAUACCAAACAAGGUACUAACAGUACACGUUAACUAAUACAUGUAUUAUAUUUUAUAAUACACUCGACCAAAGGACGCUAAGUGAUUUUUAACCACUUCGUUGAGAUAAUAUUAACAACUCCAAUCUGCUUUGAUAGCCUGUUUGGAAGCGUCUAAAAUCAUCUUUCUCUGUGUGAAAGAUCACAGGGUGUCUACACCAUGAUGUGUACUCGUGUAUCAACAAUAUGAACGAGUGAGAACGACCUGGCCAGGACUUCAACCAAGGAGGUUCAAUAUUCGGAAAAAAUCUAGCUGAAGGAAUUUCAACACCUACUAUAUAUACAUAAAAAUAAUUUUAAUCAUAUACAAAUGAUGUAUUUUUUCGUCGAAGAAGGUUCGACCGAACCCUUAAGAAGGCCUGGCUCCGCCCCUGUGAACGACACGUGAACUUCAGAAAAUACACAUGGAUUAAAAUAAUAACAAUAAUAAACUUCUUGUUGGGGUUUUGAGCAGGGAUGAAAUAACAAAAAUAAAAAAUACAUGCAUGCUGCGACAAAUGUUAAUUAUUUAUAUUUGAGCCUGUAACUUUUUGUUAUUAAAAGUAUUCAUGACAUUGAAAAUAGUUGGGGAGUCUUAAUUUGUCCUAGGUUUGUUUAAUACUUUAGCUAAAUUAAUGUAUGUGCGAAAUGGCCUCCUUUCAUUAGUUGUCAAGAUUUGUCCUCGCAUUAAUCAAUCUUCCUCCAUUAUUUUUUAAAGAUAAGUUUUGUUUUAACGUUUUCAUUUGUUCUUAAUUAAGUAGUGAUGUACUUGUGACAUUUGUCUUAAUAUUGACUUGGCCUAUAUGUUAACAAAUACUAAUAAAUAAUACAUAUAAUUUUAUCAUAUCACCUUUCGAAUACAAUUAAUUUAUUACUUAGAAAUUAAAAUGCACUAAAUAAUGAAUAGUAUGUAACAUUAAGGAUAAAAUGGACAAAUUAGGUUUUUCAAAUUGGACAAAUAUUAUCGAAUAUUUAUUUUUAGUAUAGUACACAAGUAUUCUUGACGGAGGGAGCAGAUAAUAAAGAAGAUAUUACUGAUAUUCUUUCAACUUUACUCUUCUUUAAAUAAAUAGAGUUUUACAUAACCAAGAAACUAUUAGAGAGUUAAUUAUUACAUCUAUUUUAAAGUAUUUAUUAGGGGUAAGUUGGUAAAAAUAUCUUGUUAUUUUUAGGAAAGAUAAGCUUUUGAAAGAGUAUGCAUGUCUAACCUAAAACAACCACUUAUUUAGAAACUGAAAAAUUACUUAAAUUUCUUUUGAAGAGUUGGAAUCUCACAUACUUAGAGAUAUGUUUUGAACACUGAGACACUCUGAUAAACAUAAACAUUCAUGAUCAAAUGCAGUGACAAGCAUUUGAAUAUUAUGUCGUGAGUGCACCUGAGUUUAUCAAUGGGACGGGAAAGGUAAGGCUCUGAACGGAUUAAUUAAUAAUGGAAUUGCUAAUUAUGUGAGGCUCGAAAUAAGUCUAGCAUCUAUUGGCGGUGGCAGGUAUCGCGUGGAGUCAAUCAAGGUGCACUCAAGCCGGAGAAAAAUAAAGUCUAGCAUCUUAAUCGGCAAUAGAUGCUAGACUUAAGUACAGUAUACAUGUUAAUCUUAAUAAAAAUAAAUGAAGUUUAAAUUAAGAUAACAUACUGUACUUGAUAAAGCCGAAACUUACUGAAUAAACUAUACCCGAUAAAGUUAAAGAAAUCAUAUUACUCACUUUUUUUUUUUUUGUAUAUACGUAAGGCUAUAUGCACAUGUAACUCCAUAGUACGAGCAUAUAUUUUGUAAAAAGUAGUAGAUAUAUUUUGAAGCACAAAAAGUGCUGCUUGCUGGAGUUACCGAGAUCAACUGUAGAAUGUGCAAAAUAUGAAGUUGGAGCUGAAGUAUAACUGGAAACGAUAAUGUUCUUCCAUCAAUAGAAUGACUAUUGAACAAAGAAAACUCAACCUUUGUUUAACCAAGAUAGUUUAACCCCUAACAGAACUGAAAGAGAAGAUCCGCCAUAGUACAAUCGUUUAACUGACAUGCAACUUGCACUAAAUAAAACGAGAUUAUUUCUUAUCAAUAUGCAUUUUGUAUACCUAAUAGACUCCAGGAUGCUUAGUCAAAAAGCAAACAUAUCAACUCUCUGUCAAAAGGCCAACAUGUUGCAUCAUCCAUGUUAACUUCACAUUACUGCAAAUGGACUUGCUCAAUUGUGGAAACAACUUCCUCAAUGCUCUUAAUGUUUCGCCUUUCUUUCAGAAGCUUUUUUGCACAGUUAAGCGCUUGUCGUUCACAAUCAGCUCGUUUGGCAACAUCCUUGAUUGAUUCAAAAUCCUCCACAUGAGCUACCCCAACUAUUCUCCUGUGUAAUAAUAACAAAACAAGAAUUUCAAUCACAUGCACCAAGACUUCACAACUUUCUUGGGAUUAAGAAGCACAUUGCUCUUGAAUCCCAGAACAAAGCACAGUUGCUUGAAAUGAAUGUAUAUUUUUCCUAAAAGAACACUUUUUUGGCAUUAGACGGCAUUGUAUCUUGUCCACCUAUAAAUAAACAUACACAUACAUGUCUAUACAUAAUUACACGUGCACACACAUAAGUUCCUUGAGCAACUUAGUGCCGUCUGAGUUACAAAAAUUGUCGUGGGAAUCAAGCUACUUGCUUUCUUCACUGGGCAGGCGUUGUUAAAUUUUUUCAAUUAAAAAAAACAGAAGAGGACAGAGAGAAAACAUGCGUUAGAACCAUGAUUAGAAAAAGAAUUCACCAAUCACCUUAUCAUUUUAGCAGCACCAAAUCCAAGGGUGUCCUCAAAGAGUUCUUUCAUGUAUUUCUGCUUUACCAGUUGUUGAAGCCCAGUAUUAUUGUAUAUUUCAGGAAGAUAUGCCUCACCAGGACCAUCCUUGUGUUCAUCCCAGAGAGCAAGAAAUUUUUGGUGAAAGAGGUUCCAAGUCUCUGUUAUUGUCUUCAAAAUCCAAACUUUAUAUGACUGGAAACAAACAAGUUCACGAGUAAGUACACAAAAACUACGUCAGUGUAUUCUUGACUUUGCAAAUAUUUAAGAAAGAAACAAAUGUCAAAUCUACCAAUCCAUAAUCGCAUCAACAUGUCCUCGCCAAAAAAAAAAUCUUAUACAAAAACUAAUGAGAUGAGGAGCUCGUCACUAAAAUUUAAGCAAGAAGCAAUAGGAGAAAAGACGUGAAAGGAAAAUAAAGGUGGCCCGUUCUCAUUUCUCUUUUUUUUUUUAAUCCCCCUAUUUAAAACCUUCACUGUAGGGACUAGUGUGUGACCUGUUAACUUUUGUACCCGAUCACUGAGAUAAACCCUAAAACAAACCUGAUUUAUCAGUGAAUCUUCUAUGCAGAUAGUUUCUUUCCAUCCUCGAUCAUUGCAGAACUCAUCAGCAUAUGAAGGUUAUAUAAGGAUCUUUCAUCUCACAGGAAGUUAAUUUGAGCAAGUUUAAAGAAUUUAAAAGUCAAGAAACUGAGUUAACACUUGAAAAGAAAACAUUCGGAACACUUAUUAGCUGUGAAGAAAUUUAUGAACUCAUUGAAAUCUCGAAGAAAUUUAUGAACUCGUUGAACUCUCUAGACGAACAUUUAAAUUUACAAUCAUAUCUUUGGAAAAGCAACCUAGUGACAAGCCUCAAUUUCUCAUGAUGAAUCAAUUUGGCAUCAGGACAUGUUCUUUUCUUCUUUUUUCCUUUAACUGGUUUCUGGAAUUAGGACAUAUAUCUGACCAGGUGCAAGCCAUAUACAACUCUAAGCAGCCUCACAGCACCUCAACUUUAUCCAGAUUGUUUGAUCUGGUGUUACAACAUCUGAGGAGGUGCAAGCCAUAUACAACUCUAAUCCAAGAACAGCAAUCACAGAAAUUAAGGACGAGAGAUUCAUGGACAAGGAGAAAAAACAAAAAGGGGGACAAAGACCUCUACAAUGUAACAAGGAGAUCGCAAUAAUUAAAAACAGAUAACGGAAAGGCAAAUAUUGCAGCAGAUAUACCUUGCGGUCAUUGGCCUGAUCCGCGUGUCCAUCUUGGGAAAAGUACGCCAGAAUUAGAUUUCCAAUAAAUGCUCCAAUAUCAAAACCCAUUGGCCCAUAGAAAGCAAAUUCUGGGUCAAUUACUUGAGUCGAAUCGUGAGUGACCAUCAAAGAACCAGUAUGGAGAUCGCCAUGUAUGAGAGCUUGGGCUCUCUCACAAAACCUACAAAGUAUCACAUAAAGGUUGUCGUGAGUUUCCUUAUAGAGACAAAAACAUAUAAAAGUCAAGCAGAUCAGUUGGAUGCUCUAAAGCAACAUCUUCUAAGACUCACAAACGUACUUGGAUUUAAGCUCAGCAACUUCAAUCUUCAAAACAUCAUCGUUGCGAACUGCCUCUGCAUCAGCAUCAAGAUAAGGAGAUGUACAGUGAUUAUAUUGUGACACCUUGUAGGGGUCCGAGAAGACAACCUGCUCAGUGAGCCUACACAACUCGACGUUUCCACAAAAUUCAGCAACUGCAAAAAUGAAUUUAAGUCAAAAUCAAAUGGAAAUAACAAUGAAGAGGUGGGGAAGAAAGUGGAGACCAAGAAAGAGGCGUAUGCUAAGUUGGUGGAAAGUAAGGACGAAGAAGAGAAGCGGGUAAACAGGAAAGAGUACAAGCUAGCGAGGAAGGAGGCGAAGUCAGCGGUCACGGCAGCUAAGACGGCCGCUUUUGAGAGCUUGUAUGCAGGGUUACAGGGGAAAGGAGGGGAGAAGAAGUUGUUCCGACUCGCUAAGGCUAGGGAGAGGAAGGGUCGUGACCUCGAUCAGGUGAGGUGCAUUAAGGGGGAGGACGGUAGAGUGUUGGUGGAGGAUGGCCACAUAAAGAAGAGAUGGCAGUCGUACUNNNNNNNNNNNNNNNNNNNNNNNNNNNNNNNNNNNNNNNNNNNNNNNNNNNNNNNNNNNNNNNNNNNNNNNNNNNNNNNNNNNNNNNNNNNNNNNNNNNNNNNNNNNNNNNNNNNNNNNNNNNNNNNNNNNNNNNNNNNNNNNNNNNNNNNNNNNNNNNNNNNNNNNNNNNNNNNNNNNNNNNNNNNNNNNNNNNNNNNNNNNNNNNNNNNNNNNNNNNNNNNNNNNNNNNNNNNNNNNNNNNNNNNNNNNNNNNNNNNNNNNNNNNNNNNNNNNNNNNNNNNNNNNNNNNNNNNNNNNNNNNNNNNNNNNNNNNNNNNNNNNNNNNNNNNNNNNNNNNNNNNNNNNNNNNNNNNNNNNNNNNNNNNNNNNNNNNNNNNNNNNNNNNNNNNNNNNNNNNNNNNNNNNNNNNNNNNNNNNNNNNNNNNNNNNNNNNNNNNNNNNNNNNNNNNNNNNNNNNNNNNNNNNNNNNNNNNNNNNNNNNNNNNNNNNNNNNNNNNNNNNNNNNNNNNNNNCCUCCCUCUCCCACCCCUCCCCGAACCAGCCCUACCGCCCGGCCUAGACCCCACACCCGCCCCUGCCCUCCCCUCUUCACCCCUCCCGAAACUAACCCCCGCCCUAGCCCCCUCGGACAUGACCGUACUCCACCAUCAACCCCCAAAGCCACUACACAAAAGUCGGAACAAAGCCCCAAACAGACAGGCAAACAAACAAGGCAAAAACAGGACAAAAAACUGUCACGCACAAAACUUAGUCCAACCAAGCCAACAAUAAAUUAUUCUAAUUGAUAAUAGUAAUAUGAAUCCCCUCAUAAAUGGAUCUAAUUGCAUUUCACGCUCUAAAUUUUUGAUGAUUCAAUUUAUCGUUUUAUCAUUCUUGUAACGUAUUCAACGGGAGAUGCCUUGGUGUAUGUUAUUUGCCGAUGAUGUUGUAUUGACUGACGAGACUCGGGAAGGAGUUAAUGAUAAUUUGGAGGUUUAGAGAUAAAUCUUUAAGUCUAAAGUGUUUAGGUUGAACAAGACCAAGACGGAGUACUUGGAAUGUAAGUUAGUGAUUUUUUGCAUGAGGCUGACGUGGUAGUGAAGCCGGAUUCUCAGGCCAUUUAGAAGAGGGAGAGUUUCAAGUAUCUUGGGUCUAUGAUUCAAGGUAAUGGUGAGAUUAACGAGCAUGUCACGCACCGUAUUGGUGCAGGGUGGUUGAAAUGAAUUCUCGCUUCGGGAGUCUUGUGUGAUAAGUAGGUGCCUCCAAGCUUAAAGGUUACAGAGUGACAAUCCGACCAACUAUGUUGUAUGAAGCGGAGUAACGGAGAUGAGGAUGUUGCGAUGGAUGUGUGAACUUACCAGGAGGGAUAGAGUUAGCAAUGAGAUUGUUCGGGAGAAGGUGGGAGUGGCUUCGGUGGAGGACAAUAUGCGAGAAGUAAGGCUGCGAUAGUUCAGGCAUGUGAUGAGGAGGGGCACGUAUGCUCGAAUACAGAGGUGUGAGAGACUGACUAUGGAUGGUUUUAGGCGGGGUAGAGAUAGGCCGAAGAAGUAUUGGAUGGAGGUAAUUAGGCCUGACAUGAAGUAGUUAUAGCUUACGGAGGACAUGACUCUUGAUAGGAAGGUGUGGAGGAUCCGGAUUAGGGUAGAGGGUUAGUAGGUAAAGUACGUCCACAAUAGUAGGGAGGAGUGCUUUGUUUGUACCUGUGCCUGUAGUUUCUUCUAGUUUCUUGUUCGUGGUGUUUCUAUGAUUUUUGUAAAGGUAGUUUAUAGUAUUACCUUUUGGGUGUCUUGUUUCCUUUAUUAUCUAGAGGUGUGAUAUUCCUUAUGGGUGCCGUAACUAUGUUAUGUCAUCUGCUUCUGUGUUGUACUAUGUGUUUGUGUGAUAUCUCGUGACUUGAGCCGGGGGUCUUUCGGAAACAGCCUUUCUACUUCAUCAGAGGUAAGAGGUAUGGACUGCGUACAUCUUACUCCCCCCAGACCCCACUAAGUGGGAAUACACUGGGUUUGUUGUUGUUGUUGUUGUUGAAUUGGUUCUGGGAAUGAGCUAACAGAAGCUACUCAUAUACAUACACCCUUAUAAGGCUGACUGAUUAAAAGAGGUAUGCAAAUAUGUAUAAAACCAAGGGAGAACUGAGAAGAAUGUGUCGCAUGUCAAAACCUCAAGAAAAGUAUAUGCAAUUCUCCCCGAUUUUUUUAAAAGAAUGUAAUUCUCCCGUAUUGAACUCAUAUGAAAGUUGAAUGAGUUUCUGAACUACAAGGAAUGUGCUCAAGAUCGGAAAAAAUUAAUUUAGCCAUGUGAAUUUGAUCAGGUGUUAAAUCUCAAUAGCCAUCUACAAAUGUCCAGCAGUACUGGGUUUGUCAGUUUGAACUUUAACUUUCAACCAAAAUAGUUGCAUAACACCCCUAACAAGAUAUAUUGAAGAGACUAGCCGAGUCCCA
rnacentral:lncRNA from 1 species